rnacentral:lncRNA from 1 species
UAACUUCUUCAACCUUCCAAUCAAAUUCACAGGGAUCCUUCUUAGCCUUUGACAACCUGUCACAUCCAACAACCUUAACUCCUUGAGCUCUCCUAUUUCAUCAGGUAAUUCUUCAAUGGAUAAGCACGACAUAAGACCAAGAAUCUUAAGUCUCUGCAGCUUUCUCAACCAAAUGAGGUCCUUGCAUCCACAGCUAAUCAACACCAACGAUUGAAGUUUCGUUGAGAGUUCAAGUGAUUGCAGCGACAAACGCCCUCCUCCAGAGACAAAACUUCAAUUUCUUUCAUCCCUUCAAAAAACCUCUCUGGAACAUUCAUACCAUCUUCCAGUUCUAAUAAUAGAACUUUGAGCUGUGGACAUACCAAUCCUUCAGGAAGUUCUGCUAGUUUAUUGCCCAUUAACGAAAUUGUUGUACAACCUUCAAAGCUUUUGUUUCUCAUUGCCCACUUCUCCAACCCAAUGCCAGCCUUUACCAUGAAUCCAUAUUCUUCUGAUGAUGCUAUCUGAAUAGCAAAGUCACGAACCAAGUCAUGCAUUCUCACAUGUUCUUCAGUUUCAGUGCCCAACAGCAUGCAACAAUCUUUGAGGUUUUCGAUGGCCACAGAAACUCCUUUCCUUGCAUCUUCAAUGGGCUCCGCAUCUUGAUGUAACCCAUAGCCAACUGCAUAUCUCGUCAAGUCCUCGAUUGGAAUGUCAUAAUCUUCUGGAAAUAAACAGCAUAGCACGAAACAUGACUUGGUUUCCUCGUACUUCAAAUAAUCAUAGCUCAACUUAAGACAUGUGUAAGCAUUAUUUUGUUCAUCAAUUUGUUCCAUGCGCACAAAGUGAGAUUCUUUGAGCUGUUUAGACGCUACUUCCCACUGAACUCGUGAUUUACCUCUUAGAGCCCUUCCCACUGUCACAAGUGCUAUAGGCAAGCCUUGGCAUUCUCUCGCAACCUCCCUUGCCACUGUGUUCAAGGUAGAGUCCCCAUCACGUAAACCUGCAUUGAUUCUGAAUAAAUCCUAAACGAAAUAGCAGAAUGAUAAUUGAAAAUAACAGAGUAAUGAAAAAGGGGUUGUAUAUUCAGUGAGUAUGUUUGUACAGAAUGGCUAGCCAUUAUAUAGAGACAGAUUCGAACUAUUCUAGGAAUGUCAACUAUACAUUAAAAUGAUCCUAAGAUCAUGCUAGGCUGAUCUGGUGCAUUGAUCCCGAUCCACAAUUUUCUCCUUAAUGAGAUUCAUUUCCUUUUAACACUCCCCCUCAAGUUGGAGUAUGAAUGUCUAUGACACCCAACUUGCUGAGAUGUGUAUGAAACGCUGGCGAUCUCAAUGGUUUUGUGAAUAAAUCUGCAAUUUGCUUUCCAUUUUGAACAUACGUUGUCUUGACUUCUCCUCUUUGAAUUCUUUCUCGAAUUGUAUGGCAAUCUAGUUCAAUAUGCUUUGUUCGUUCGUGAUAAACUGGAUUUGCGGCAAUGUGUAAAGCUGCCUGAUUAUCACAAAACAACUUUGCUGGUCCAGGGUGUGAUACUCCCAAAUCUUUCAAUAAGUACCUCAACCAGGUAAGCUCACAAGCAGCUGCAGCCAUGGAGCGAUAUUCCGCCUCCGCUGAUGAUCUUGAUACUGUUGUCUGCUUUCUACUUUUCCAAGACACAAGUGAUUUUCCAAGGAAGGUGCAAUAUCCUGUUACAGAUCGUCGUGUAAUUGGACACCUUGCCCAGUCUGCAUCACAAUACCCUAUCAAGUGGAGCGGGCUAUCUGAAGGAAAUAAUAACCCUUGUCCUGGGGCUGCUUUCAAGUAAUGGAGGAGUCGAUGAGCAGUCUUGAGAUGAUGUAGUUUUGGUUCCUGCAUGAAUUGACUGAGUGUGUUCACGGAGUACGUGAUUUCUGGUCUGCUAAUUGUGAGGUAGAUCAAUUUUCCAACUAGAUGUCGGUAUCUAGUAGGGUCUUUAAGUGUCGCACUCCCUGUAUCUGUUAACACUAAGUCAGGCUCCAUGGGUACCUUAGCUGGCUUUGCUCCAAGUAACCCAGCUUCCUCUAAUAUGUCUAACGUGUAUUUUCGUUGACAUACUGUAAUCCCUGUCUUGGAUCGUGCUACCUCGAUCCCAAGAAAGUAUUUUAAUGGUCCAAGAUCUUUAAUUUUGAAGCAACUGUUGAGAAACGUCUUGAGAUCAUUAAUAGCCUUUUCAUCAUUCCCAGUAACAACCAUAUCAUCGACGUAAAGUAAUAUGAUUGUAAUGGAAUCCCCACGGACCUGUGUAAAAAGUGAAUAGUCAGCACGAGAUUGUUGGAAUCCAAUUUCUUGGAUUGCACAUGAGAAUCUGCGAAACCAACUACGAGAUGCUUGCUUAAGGCCAUAAAGUGACUUAUGGAGUCGACAAACUGUAUUCUCCCCCUGUCGACGAUAACCUGGAGGUGGGAGCAUAUAUACUUCUUCACUGAGCUCUCCAUGUAAGAAAGCAUUGUGGACAUCCAUCUGAUGUAAUGACCAGUGCCUAACAGCAGCUACUGCGAGGAGGCAGUGGACGGUGGUUAUUUUGGCAACUGGGGCGAAGGUGUCUUUGUAAUCGAUACCUUCGCAUUGUGUAAACCCCUUUGCAACAAGCCUGGCUUUGUAACGCUCGAUGUUGCCAUCAGCUUUGUACUUGAUCUUAAAAACCCACUUGCAACCGAUGGGUCGGUGGCCAGGGGCUAAAGGAACAGUGGACCAAGUGUGAUUGUCCUCAAGAGCUGUAAUUUCAGCAGUCAUGGCAGCAACCCACUGGGGAUCAUGACGAGCCUGCUCAUAAGUGGCUGGCUCAACCAGGCGAGAUAUAUUACUCACAAAGGAACGAUAUGGACUAGAGAGGCCAGAGUAGGAGACAUACCGUUGGAGUGGAUGACGUGUGCCAGACAUGGAUGUAGAGGAGACAUCAGGGCCAAGGACAGCAGCAUGAUAGGUUUGGAAAUCUUGGAGGUAAGGUGGAGGCCGAUGAAGGCGGGUGGAAUGGCGAGGUUCGGGGAGGGUUGGUAUUGGGUAGACCAUGGGGGGUUCAGUGACGUUGGUUAAGGAGGACACAGAUGGAUCAAUGGAUGUUGACGGGACGGAUGACUGUGGUGUCGUCACAUGAGGUUCUAAUGGGACAGUGUUUGUGGUGUGAGGGCGACGAGAGUAAACAUGGAGUGGGGUUGGGUGAGGAGUGGCAACCGUCGGAGGGGAAACAAGGGUAGGAGAGGUAUUGUGGGAGGGGGAAGGUGGUUCAAGAUUUGGUUGGGUGGAAGGCUGAUUAGAUAGUGUGGGUUGAGGAUGGGUGAUGGUCUCAGGUAAUGUGGCUAGGCUACUGGGGAUAGGCAAAACUGGGUUGUCGUCUAGAUUUUCUGGUGGUAGCUUAGUGAAGGGAAAUGUAUGUUCAUGGAAAGUGACAUCUCGUGAGGUAAAAAAUUUCUUGCUUUCAAGAUCAUAAACACGAUAUCCUUUUUGGCCAUGAGGAUAUCCAAUGAAAAUGCAACGGCGAGCACGACAAUCAAGUUUAUGAUCAGGGGUGAGAUUUGUGGCAUAACAAAGGCAACCAAAAACCCGAAGAGUAGAGUAGUUGGGUGGAGUGUGGUAUAAAAGUUCAUAUGGGGAUUUGUGAGAAAGCAGGGGAGUAGGUAGACAGUUGAUAAGGUAACAUGAUGUUUGGACACUUUCCCCCGAAAAUUGUAGUGGUAAAUUGGCUUGAAAGCGAAGGGCUCGGGCUACAUUUAGAAGAUGACGGUGUUUGCGCUCAACCACUCCAUUUUUUUGAGGGGUAUAAGCACAUGUGUGUUGGAAAAUGGUACCACGUUCAUCAAGAAAAAGAACGUAGUGAAGUGAAUUCACCCCCAUUAUCUGCACGUAAAAUUUUGAUGUCCCUAUUAAAUUGUGUUUUUACCCAAGAGAAAAAGGACUUUAUCAAUGAUUGGGUGUUGGAUUUAAGACUCAUGAGGUGUACCCAGGUGAAACGAGUAAAGUCAUCAACAAUCGUUAAAAAAUAACGAGCCCCAGAAUGUGUAUGGAUUUUGUGUGGUCCCCAAACAUCACAAUGAACUAAAUCAAAUGGUGCAAUGGUAUUUAUUGAGCUUGUAGGAAAAGAUAAACGAGUUUGUUUUGCCAGAGGACAAAUCUCGCAGACAUGCUUAUUAUUAAAAACAAUAUCAGGGAAAGAUUGGGAUAAAUGGUGGAGGGGAGCAGCAGAUGGGUGUCCGAGUCGUUGAUGCCAAAGGUUUGAAGUGCAAGUGAUGUGAUUGAUGAGGCAAGGAUUUUGAGCUGGGGUGAGAUAGUAAAGGCCAUUAAAAUGCUUGCCCAGGCCAAUCGUCCUCCUCGUAUUCACGUCCUGCACAACACAAAAAUUUUCAGUAAUGCCAUGAUUUGCUUAUACUCUUCAGCUGUGAAGGUUGGGCUUUCAUCAGUCGAUUCCCUCUUCAUCUCAAUGUUGUUGAUUGCUGUCUUCUUAUUUCUUGGCUUCAUGUUUUUAUUAUGCCAUUUGUGGCCAAUUGGAAACCCAAUUAGAUAAUAACAUUGAUCAACCAAAUGUCCUCCUUGCUCACAGUGGGUGCAGAACUUCCUGCUGCCAAACGAAGUCACCGUCUGUGAUCCUCCCCGUCGUGCAACCUGCAUCGCAUGGGAGGCCGGCACGAUGGAAUUGCGUGCUGCUACCUCCAUUUGCCUCUCUUAUUGGAGAAUAAGGCCAUGGGUUCUUCGUGUAUCGGGUAGGGGGUUCAUCAUCAAGAUCGACCCACGGAUUUGGGAAUAGGGUUCGUUAAGCCCCAUUAAAAAUUGCAUCACCUUCUCCUUCUCUUCUCUGUCAGCAAGCUUUUUCAGCAUGUCGCAAGAGCAAGGGAUGGGUUCCUGGUAAGACCCUAAUUCAUCCCAAAGCCCUUUGAGUUUCGUAUAAUAGGCAGAUAUGGAGAGGGACCCUUGACGACAUUCAACAAUUUCUUGUCGUAUUUGGUAGAUUCUGGAUUCGUCUCCUUGGGAAAAUCUGUCUUUGAGGUCGUUCCAAAUCACGGCUGCCGUAUCUGAGUAGAUGACGCUACGAGCUAUCUUUGGUUGAACAGAAUUAAGGAUCCAGGACACCACCAGAUCAUUGCAGCAUUGCCAUAAUGGGAAUUUUGCAUCAUUUGUUGGUGAAGCUUCUAUGGAUCCAUCGAUGAGACCAAGUUUGUUUUUGGCGCUGAGGCUGCGACGCAUUGAACGACACCAUUCCCCAUAGUUGCGUCCAUUCAAAAGUGUGCUGACCAGGGUGAGUCCUGGUGUGUCUGAAUGAUGUAGAGCCAAAGGAUCAGGUAAGGAAAUCCCUCUCUCUUCUCUGUUCUGUGAUGUGAAAUCUGUGGAUUUGUCUAGGAUUUCAGUUGUGUUGAUUCCUGUGUUGGCCAUGUUGUCAAUACAAUGGUGUUUGUGAUUUGGUUGUAGCGGAAGAUGUUAGGCUAGAGACACCAGAACCAGCGCUCUGAUACCAUAAACGAAAUAGCAGAAUGAUAAUUGAAAAUAACAGAGUAAUGAAAAAGGGGUUGUAUAUUCAGUGAGUAUGUUUGUACAGAAUGGCUAGCCAUUAUAUAGAGACAGAUUCGAACUAUUCUAGGAAUGUCAACUAUACAUUAAAAUGAUCCUAAGAUCAUGCUAGGCUGAUCUGGUGCAUUGAUCCCGAUCCACAAUUUUCUCCUUAAUGAGAUUCAUUUCCUUUUAACAAAUCCCAUGCUUCAUCUUCAGGUAAGACUCUUAAAAGCACUUUUUGCUGGCACUCCAUAGAAAAACAUAUGCCUUGAACACGUGUUGUUAGAAGAAUUUUACAACCCCUGUGAUCAUCACCAAAUGGGAUCCCUAUCUCUUCCAAGUCAAUAUGUUUCCAAACAUCAUCCAGGAUUAUAAGCAUCUUCUUUCCCUGCAGUCUCUGCCAUAAUUCACUUGCUCUACCUUCUUUACUCGUUUUUUCAAAUUUCAGAUGUAAACUAUCUGCCAUUCGAUCCUGGAUGCCUAUGAAAUUUGGAUUCUGGGACACCGUAGCCAUCAAAACGUCAGGAAAAAGCUGCGACUCUUUGGCUCUCCUGCCUACUUCUUUCACCAGGGUUGUUUUACCCACCCCUCCCAUGCCGUACAGUCCGAUCAUAUUGACGGUGUCAUCUUUGAGAGCUUUCAUGAUCUGUUCCAAAGCUUCUUUUGACGAUUCUGAGGGCGUGAAUUCCUUUGAUGUUAGAAAUUCUAUGGGCUGAGGAGGAGCUUUUUGGGCCACUGUUUUAAACUUUGUGCUAUUUUCUAGAAUUUUUCUGAAAGUCUCCGACUUCUUGGCCAGUGCCUUGCUUAACUUGAAUUGUCGCAUGCAGUUUGGGCACCAAGUAAAGCAUUUGCCGUUUUUUCCUAUUUCAUUUUCCAAGGGCUUCGCACCUUCAAUUUGGUUGUUUGCAUCUUCCAGCCACUUUUUGACAUCUUUGUAAGUUUUUUCAGCAUUCCUUUCAGCAGCUUCGACAUCGUCUUGCAGACGUUCUUUUGCCGAAACCAGGUUCUCCUUUUGUUCUUUGAAUUCUUGAGCAAAAUUGUUGAAACAGAACAUGUACGGGAACUGCCUUCUACUGGGUUCCACCAUGAGUUCUGCUAGCAUAGCUAUAAUGGAUCCACCAGCACUUUCGAGAGCCAUUUUCCACAGGUCUGAAAAUCAAAGAAAUAAGGAUACAGAACGUGAGAGUGAUCACUACAAGUAAAACAGUCGCAGAGAGAAUGGGAAUAGGAAUUUCAUUACCUUAAUUUGGGAAAAUAUGUGCGAAAAGCACUGGUACUGAGUGCUCAAUGAAAUAGCGGGAGGAAGAAAAGGAGAAGUCCUUUAGCUCUGUAUGGAAUCCAGCUUCAAAAGCAACAAUAAAAUAGUUUAGAUGGAUUCUAACUGACUCUUGUUAGUUAAAGCAGUAGUUCCCAUUAAAAAUGCAUUUUGAUGACAUAAUUAAGAUCAUAUAGAGACAGUGACAAACCAAAAAGAAAGAAACGAGUGAAAGGUCCAGGAUAAUCUAAGCUAUGAUCGGUCAAGGUUUUUUUUAGUUUUAUUCUUUUUUUAAAUAAAAAAAAAACAGGAAAAGACUUGCAAAGAAAUAGAAUUACUGGAAUGAACACAAUAAAGGAUGAAACUCAAGCAAUUAAAAAUAAAUUAUCUAUGAUGAUCAUCUCUGUGUCACACUCAAUGAGGUAAUCAAAUAAUAAAAAAUAAAAUAAUGUGUAAAAGUACUCACCUAGCAAAGAAAGAAACGAAUGAAAGGUUCGGAUAAUCACUUAGACGUCUCCAUGGAUGAUACCAGCUCGCUUCCAACAACAAAUAUAAUUAACCUAAGCUGUGAUAGGUCAAAGUUUUUUUUAGUUUUCUUUUUUUUAAAAAAAGAAAAAAACAGAUCAACAAGAGAGAAGACUUGCAAAAAAGUAGAAUUACUGAAAGAAACUCAACAAAGAAUCAAACUGAAGUAAUUAAAAAUAAUAGUCUAUGAUGACCAUCUCGGUAUCACACAUUCAGGUAAUAUGAUUAACCUAUAACAAUAUUAGAAAAAAAAAAGUUAAUAGAUGGUCGCCACGUGUUCAACUUUAUCUACCCUUAGGAAAGGAUAGAAAGCGGGAGAGAGAGAGGUUAAAAGGCUUUUAAAAAAAAGAAAAGGAAAGACAGAAAUAAAAGAAAGGUUGAGACAAGAGAGGGACAAGGAAAUAGAAGGAGAAGUUUGUAAUAUAACCAUUUUAAUUUAAUAUUUUAAGAGAUUUCAGAAUAUGAUUUAUAUUAUUUUCUAAUACACCCUCUCAAGUGUUCUUUGGACUUUAAACUUGAACAGACCCACAUUACCCUGUGUUUAAUUUUUAUCAAAUAAAUAGGGAUGGUGAGAUUCGAACUCGUGAUCGUUUGGUCAUUAAAGCUCUGAUACUAUGUCAAAAAAUUAUCUCCACCUAAUAGCUUAAACUGUUUGGUGAGGUCCCAUGAUAUGAUUUAUAUUAUUCUCUAAUAAGGUUGAGGGAGGCAAAAAUAGAAGAAGACAUUGAAAGAUCGGAGGAGAGUAAAGAAAACAAUAUAAAUAUGUGAUGCUCGUUUAUCUAUUUGAUUGGGAUUUUUUUGUGUCUCUUUUAUUUGGAAUUCUUUGGACAUUUUAAUAAUAUAAUAACAAAAAAAUAUUAAAAUUAUUUUUAUUUUUUCAUGCUCUUAUAAGUAAUGUAGAAGAUGAGGACCUGAAAUCACGACAGCAAAUAAGAAGAGAAAUAACGUGUUUGUUUUUUUUAAAAAAAGAUAUCUUUAAAAAAAUUAAAUUUUAUUUUUACUUGAAAUUAAUUUUUAAAAAGCUAGUUUGAAAAUUAAUAUGAAAAAAAAGGAUAAUAGAGUAGUUGUCCAAAUCAAAACACAUUAACAUAGGACAAAAACAGGGAGAGAGGCUAUUUGUUUUUUUAACUGUAUUGGUUUAAUAAGGUUUAUAUAGUAUUUUAUAAAUAUUUUGGAUAAAAAUUUUAAAGGGUUCUAAAUUAUCUCUGUUACCUUCCCUUAAUUUUCUAGGCAAGUAAAAGGAGCUAAACUUAUUCCCGACCAAAACGUCAAGAAUUUCAGUGGAACAAAAAAAGAGAUCAUUACUUGACCAAAAACAACUAGUCAGCACCCAAAGAAACCGAGUGAAUGAGAGAAAAUUAAGGACUCAUAGCUAGAAAACAAUCAACAGAUCCAAGAAUUUUCUGUAUGGUUUCCAAGAAAAUGAAACGAAAUGAGCAGCACAACCCUCUUUCUCCUCCAAGAAAAGAAAGAAAAAGAAAGGAAAGAAACAAAGAUAGAAAGUCAAACUUGGCUCCUCUUUUAGUGUUAAAAAAAAAAAACAAAGAAGUUCGAGGAAGUGGGCAGCCUUUUUUCUGCUGUUCAUGUGGUGUUCUGCUGUUCACGCAGACUAAGAACUCCUACCAUCGUAAAAUCAUAUAAUUAAAACACAACAAUAAAAAAGUAAUAAGCAGCUAAUUAUGUGCCAAAAUCAGAGAAACAAGGAUACAGAACGUGAGAGUGAGUCAUUGCAAGUAAAAGAGGCGCAGAGAGAAUGGGAAUAGGAAUUUCAUUACCUUAAACUUGAGAAAAUAUGUGCGAAAAGCACUGGUACUGAUUGCUCAAUGAAAUGGAGAAGGCCUUUAGCUCUGUAUGGAAUCCAGCUUCAAAAGCAACAACGCAAGGGAUAAGCAUUUUGAUGACAUACUUAAGAUACUAUGCGUAAUAAUAUAGAGACAGUGACAAAGAAAUAAAGAAAAAUAAUAUGUACUCACCUAGCAAAGAAAGAAACGAAUGAAAGGUUCAGGAUAAUCACUUGGACGCCUCCAUGGAUGAUACCAGCUCGCUUCCAACAACAAAUAUAAUUAACCUAAGCUAUGAUCGGUCAAAGUUUUUUUUAGUUUUCUUCUUUUUUAAAAAAAAAAAACAGAUCAUCAAGGGAAAAGACUUGCAAAGAAGUAGAAUCAAUGGAACGAACACAACAAAGGAUCAAACUCAAGCAAUUAAAAGUAAUUGUCUAUGAGUACCAUCUGUGUCACACACUCAAGUGAGGAGAGAAAAGAAGGAGACAGAAAGGAAAGGGACAAAGAAGGAAGAAAGUAAGGUCACGUAGGGGCCAGCCUUGUAGAAAGAAGAGAUUAUUACGUGGCAAGUGCCGAGUGCCAAGUGACAGUAUCAAUGAACAUGGCAGUAACAGGUUGGGAAUGUGACGGAAUGCCAAGUGCCAAGUGACACAAACGAAGCUACCCCUUUUUGUCUUCUAAAACCUACUCCCAUCAUAUACAUGUAUUAUUUUCUUAAAAUUGCUCUAUGGGAUUGCAGGCCAUGCUCGUUUGAUAUCAUAUACAUGUAUUAUUUUCUUAAAAUUGCUCUAAGGGAUUGCAGGCCAUGCUCGUUUGAUUUUUUUUAUAAAAAAAUUAUAUAGGGUUUUUUUUUACCUUUUUUUUUAGUAUUUUUGAAAAAAAAAUAGAUUUUGUUAAUGUUUUAAUUUUUAUAUUAUUUUGAUAUAUUUUUGAAAAAACAAUAUUUUAAAAAAUAACCACUAAUACAUUCUUUUUAAGUUAUUAAAUAACCAGUCCCUAUAAUUUUCCAACAUUGCAUUUGGAUACCAAAUUUUAUUUUUCUUUUUUUUAAGAUUUUUUUUGGAUGAAGAAGAGAGAGAGGGUCGCUGAAUUUUAUUUUAGAGAGAGAAAUUUGUUGUUAAGAAAGAUUUUGGCUACCAAAAUCAUUGAUUUUUGUGUGAACUAAUUCAAUAUAAUGAGAGGAGUUAAGAUUACGUGUUUUUUUUACCUUCAAAACACCUAAAAAAAGAUAUGAACUAUGGAUUUUUUUUUUUUUGUUUUUAGGUUGAUUUUGAGUUUUGAGGUGGUUUUUUAUGUUUUUAAAGGCCAUGUAUUGGUUUAAUAAUGUUUUUAGGGUACUUCAUAGGUAUUUUGGGGAAAACAAAAUUUCAGCUUGAUUUUUCCAUAAAUUUGAGAUCCUUCUCGGCUUGUUUUUUCCAUGUUAGCAGCUUUAAUUUUAUUUUUUAUUUUUGUUUUAGAAGAAAAAUGAAUGAAUUUAGGGAACAACCUAAAAUGGGUUACAACAGAUUAAAUAAUUUAGUUUUCAUAAAUUACAGUGUAAAGUUCAUCAAGGCAGGUGUGAAAGAUUUUCGUUGGAUCUAUUGCCAUUCUGUAAUAAAUUUCGAAGCACAGAAGCUGGUAGCAAGUGAUACCAUGGUCAGCACUUGACUUCUAUACAUGUCCAAGAAAGAGAAUGAAUAUGAGAAGUUUCCUUUGGUGGGGUGAAGCAAAAUUUAACUCAUUGCUUUAAAAAUCAUCCCCACUGUUUUUUAUGAUUUCAGUCUGAAUUUCAGGGAAGGCAGGCGGUGGCCGGAUUGACAGUGAUUCUACCACAUACUAUAAAUGUAAUGCAGCAAAGGUUCCGGUAAGGAAAAAUACCAUAGCUGUUGUUUUUCUUUGGGCUCACAUGCGCACAUGCAGGUUAACAUAAAAUACCAGGGGGUGAUCAUUUUUAGUUCGGUUCGGUUUUUAUCAAAAAAAAAAUAAUUAAACUGAAUCAUAUUCAAACCGACCAGUUUCAGUUCGGUUUUUUAGGACAAAAACCGGCUCAAACCGGUUUGGCUCGGUUUUUUCCGGUUUUGCUCGGUUUUUUCGGUUUGGGUUCGGUUCGGCUCGGUUUUUUCUGUUUCAGGCUUAAAAAACAAAACCGAACAGAACCAUUUGGUUUUUUCAAAAUUUUAAUCGGUUUAAUCGGUUUUUUUCACUGUUCGGUUUUUUCUGUUAGAUUUUUUUGGUUUUCUCGGUUUAAUUAGUUUUUCAGUUUUUUUCCCACCCCUACAAAAUACAGAAGCUUGUAAAUUUGUUAACUAUUUUUUUAAAUAAAAAAGUACAUAUAAGAUUCCCAAUGUAGAUCGUAAGACUAAUAUAUUUGUAUUUUGUAUAUUUCAAAAAACAAAAUUCAUAUAUUUGCAUUUUGUAAAGCUGUGAGGUCCCGUCCACAUGCAUGGGGAGAAUCUGUUCUGCUUGCCAUUUAAUUUUCUCAGUAAACAAUUCGGUUAUCACAAGUUAAAUCUCAAACCAAAUAGAACACAUAUAUGAGACCUUUUGAAUCAUCAUGCUCAAGAUGUUCUGAAUAUUUUUCUUGGCAUUGAGAAACAGCAGAUAAUCUAUCAGACCAGACCGCAGCUCUGAUACGAGGUGGUGUUAUAGAAAUAUGGUUAUAGAUAUGGAAAGAAUGAAAUAGGUUUAUGAUGGUUAACGAAGAACCUAAUGCCAUCCAUUAAAGUCUCCACGCGGCAGCGAGUAUCACGAAAUGAGAGGGUUCAUCACAUAAUAUUAAAGAACAAAGGGGGAAUAUAUUUAAAGACUAUGAUUUUAGCCAAAUAAAAUAAUAUAUAUAUAUUAAUGUGGUGUGAUUUAAUUUUUUGUGUCAAUUUGAGGUUCUGUUUCUAUUACAUAUGCCCUUCAAAAAACAGAGGCAAAUGAAGUGAUUUAGGUUUCUUGAAUUAAAUUAGGGCAAAUAAAAAAUCAAUGCAAAUACUUACUCUAGAGCAUAAAUAGUCUAGCUAGGAACAAGACAUUUUUUAACUAGGAUUGAUGAAGGUGGGAGUUGUUAGGAAACCCCCACCAUUUGGCCAAAAGAAAACAAAUAUGAGGGGAGGAGGAGUCUUCAAUGGUAUUAUACUAAUAUAAUGAUGUUCUAUGUUCAAUGAUAAGGAUUGAUGAAGUGUGCACUAAGUUAAAUCAUUUUUAACUUCUUUCCAUAUCUCUUGAUUUGCACUUAUAUGCUUUAUGCUGGUGAUUUAAGUUGUGUGAAUCAUGUUAUCAUGAAAAUAAAAAAAAAUAAAAAAAAGAAGAAGAAGAAGAAGAAAGAUUUGAUGUCUUGAUAAGAAAUGAACUUUAAUUGUUGGUUCCUAAUAGAGUUUAUACGCAAUAGAAUCCUAUGAUGUUAAAAAAAUGCAUAGGAAAUGUUUGAUUAGUGGAUCAAUCCAUGAAUUCUAGUCUGGGCAGUUCGGUAAUGGAAAUCCCAACACACAUUUGACUUAAAGAUGAUAGAAAUUGUUGUAAUGUUUUAUAUAAAAGUAGUGGAGGAAUGAAUUAGCUAACAUUUAUAUACGAGCAAUAUACCAUUAAGAGGUCAAACUAUUCGUAACAGGAUAUUUUGGUUAUCAAAAUUAAAAUCAUCAUUAGACAUAGAAGAUGAUAGAAAUUGUUGUAAUGUUUUAUAUAAAAGUUGUAGAGGUAAAUGAACCAUGUUGUAAUAUUAAAUAUCUUGAUUUAUAUUUGUCUCUCAAUUUUUUCACUUGCUUUUUUAAUUAUCGGUAAUGACUUUGUUUUUCCAUUUACUUACACAAUGGUUCGUGCUUUGUUUAAUUCGAUGCAUGCAUAAGUUUUUCGAUUUACAUUUAGGAUUUUUUUAAUGUAAAAAAAUACGUUGAGAAAUUCUUAUUCUUAUGAUUUCAGUUUGAUUCUUAUUCUUAUGAUUUCUCUUUUUUUUUUACUUAACCCUUUUAUAAAAAAAAAAUUGUUCAUAAUUUCACCCUUCAAUUCAACGUGAUGGUGCAUUGUUUUUUAUUUAUUUAUUAUUUGGGUCCUCAUUGAUGGCUUCUUUAUAUAUAUUCCCGUUUGCUAUUAUUGCCUCUUUUUUUUUUCCAUAUGAUUCAAAUAAAACCAACUUAUUUAGUUGGUUAGGACUAUAACCCAAGUUAUUUAAUGUCCUUUAAAAAAAAACACUUGUAAUAUAAUGCAGACACCAAUCUAGUACAAACCGAAGAGACAUUUGGUUUCCCUAGAGAGAAAAAAAGAUAUACUCUAUCUUCCCAUUCCCUCUCCUUGCUGAAAAGGAUGUUACACCCCCAUGUUUUUUUGGUGAAGAAUUGCAUGACGUAGUGUCACAGUAUUGUGAUAUUGUGUUGUAAACAGAAGUUUCCUGGUUUUGAUUUGACCCACAAUUAGAUAAAACAAAGUAUUUUUUGGGAGCUUUCUUAUUGGAAGAUCAAUCUGCUCCACCAUAACCUUGAUGUCAUGCACAUAGAAAAAAAAACGUGUUUGAAAACAUUUUUAACGGUCAUGAACGUGAAGGGAAAGACAAAGAACAAUAUCAUGGCUAGAAUGGAUAUAAUAUUUUUUUGUAACCGUAAAAAUAUGGAGUUGGUUUUUGAUGGGUCGCGGGUCACAAAGUCCAGAGCAAGCUUCGCCUUAGAGAAGAAUACACAACUACUAGUCUACCUAUAGCUUAAAAGUCUGUGUUUUCCCGAUGGACAUGUCUUGAACAUAUCAAGGUUGGUUAAUCUGGAGAAAUUCAGAUUGUAUGGAAUGAAGAGCCAUGAUUGCUACGUGUUUUUGCAAACACUCAUUCCAUUAGCUUAUCUUGAUUUAUUGCCAAAGGACAUAUGUGAUACACUCAUGGAGAUCAGUCAUUUCUUUAGAGAUAUAUGCUCCAGCAAGUUGCAGACACAUCACAUUGAGAAGCUUGAAACAAAUAUCAAUGAGACAAUAUGCAAACUUGAGAUAAUAUUCCCUCUAUUGUUUAUUUGACUUGAUUGAGCAUCUACCAAUACAUUUACCGUAUAAGGCAAAAGUUGGAGGCCCAGUCCAAUAUAGAUGAAUGUAUCCAUUCGAGAGGUUAGAUAUUAGAGAUGCAAUGCAAGUAUUAAUGUAUUUUCAUUGUUUUUCUUAAUUGAAAAUGUUUGUUUAAUUUGAUGCAGGUACUUGUUCAAUUUUUUUAAAAAAAAGUUAAGAACAAGGUGCAUGUUGAGGCUUCGAUAUGUGUAGCCUAUAUUGUUGAGGAGAUCUCAACAUUUAUAUUAUACUAUUUCGAGCCUCAUCCUGGAACGAAAAUCAACUGUGUUCCACGGCAUGAUGAUGGUGGUCAAGUGCCUUCAAGUUCAAACUUGUCAAUAUUCUCCAAUCCUGGAUAACCCAUGUCGCACCCUCCCGAGAGCUCGACGUCGCGGCGACACUUCCUCCGUAGCGGGGAUUGAUUGUUGGGGUCUUUCUGUUGUGAAAAAGGGAGUCGCCACCUAGUAUUAUGGUCACUAGGAAACCUAACUGGUCUUUCAGAGAUUCUAAGGCAAGGGACUGGUUGCGUAAAGGGAAGGUUUUAGCACCCCUAGUACGCCCUACCUAAGGUAAGCUGCUUGAUGUUUGAUUUGUCUUAUAAUUGUUAUGGUGUUGAUGUUCUCUAAUCCCAUCAGUUUCCUAGGAUAAGUCUGCUCUGAUGAACGAAAUCUAGGGUGCUUUAAAAACCUAUUUUUUGUCUCGUAAACCGUGGAGUAAAAAAAAAUUGAAAUGUCCUCGAUUAUAAUCAAGGCUUCUUUCAAGGAUUUGUGCGGAUUUAUUAUUCCUAGAAAAUUAUUUUGGAUAUUUACCACUCCGGGUUUCUUUAUCCAAAUAUUAACAGUGAAUAAUAACAAAUUAUUCCCAAUAAUAUUUUGGAUAUUCGUCCUUUAAGGAUUUCUUUAUCCAAACAUUAGCGGUGAAUAAUAGAUGAAUUCCCCCAAAAUAAGAUUUUUAUAUUUUUUGGAAUAUUGGCCAAUACCCUUUGGAGUUUUACAAACAUGUUGUAAAAUCCAGAAAUGCAAGAAAAAUGAUUUUUGUUGUGUUUAAGAAAUCCAUGCGAAAACACAUUUUCAAAGAUUCAAAUAUUUGUUUUUUAUAUAAAAAAACAUAAAAACAAUGUUAGGGUAUUGGCCGUAUGCAGGAAAACAAAACAUUUUUGCAUUUUUAUAUUUUUUUUGAUGUCUCGACGAAAACCGGGUAUUUUCAUACCGGACUUGUAUCUUUACCAUAUAAAAAAUACAAGCAGAUAUUGAUAAACAAUGCAUCAACAAACUUUCAGAAAAUCACAUAUUUAAAUAAUUCUUUUAAAGAAAAUUUUCCGAACGGGCCAGACCCGGCCCAAAAGGAAAAUGGGCCGAAAUCAGCCCAAAAAUAAAAUGGGCCAACUUUCUACAGGGCUGGACUCAGCCCAGCCCAAAACCACAUGAUGGGUACUGUUCACUAUACAAAGCAACCGGGUAAUUAUUAUUCUCACAUUAACAAAGCAAACUGCAUGCAAAAGACCACGUUACUGUUCAAGUGAAUUAAAUUUCACUUGAACAGUGCAAACACAAAGCAAAAAAUUACACAGUGCGGGAGGUUACAGUUCAAUCCAAGCUGGCGGGUUACUGUUCAAGUGAAUUAAAUCACUUGAACAUGCAAAUACAAAGAAAACAAAUGCACGCAAAGGGUGAAGAGAACACCUGGAGACGAAGAAGCUGUCUGCGUUCGUCUGUUUCAAAUCUUUUACUCCUGUCCUGUAUUGGCGUCUGUUUUCCUGUUUUUGCUUUCCUCUACGUCUGUCACUUUCUGCUCUUUCUUCUUCCCUGUUCUGCAGAUGUUAUAUGUAAAAAAAAUGAAAGCAAAGACCGAAAGAGAUGAUGAGCUGGUGCGGUUGGUGGUGUUGCUGCGACUGCUCUUCCUCCUCUUUGGUGUUGCUGCGCUGCCUUUCCUCCUCGUCUGUGCAGUUGCUGGUGCAGUUGGUGGUCUUGCCAUUUUCGUCUACUGGCUUCUUGUUUCCUCCUCUUUCUAUCUGCCUUCGGGUUCCUCUGGUGCUGGUGCUUGCUGAAGAUGGAGGUCGGGAAGGAUAUCCUGCUGUCAUGUUACUGCUGUUGUUUGCUGCUUCAGGAGGAAGGAUCCGGCUAUUGUGCUGUUCUUGCUUAUUGCUGCUCAAAGUGGCUGAGGAAUUGCAACUGGUGAUGACCGCGCCCCUGCUGGUUCAUGCUCCCAGUGCAGAGCAGAACACAGCUACUGCUGGCGACGGGGAAAAGAUAUAGACGCUUGGGAUCAGCUGCUGGUGCAGAGACGAGACUGGUUGCCAUCCUGAAUUGCUGCUGCGGCUAGUACCCACUCCUGGUGAUUGAGGGGCUGCUAGUCAGCGAUGGCUGCUGGAGCUGAAGACGACGCCGUUGUUGAGGCUGGAGAUGGCUGCGUACUGGUGCGGGACUCAGAGAAGAGCUGUCUGUUUGGAAUGUGAAGCAAAACUCCUGACGCUGCUUGUGGCUCACGAUUUUGGCUGGUCUUAAGAGAAGCUGUUGGAUCGUGGGGGAGAAUCUGGUGGUGUUGGGAGGAAGCCGACAAUGCCUCAUGGUGGUCAGGAAGGUGGCGGUGUGCUCCCAAAUGGUAGAGGGAGAGAGCAGAGAGAGAGGUUACCGUUCUCCUCUUCCCCUCUGUUUUCCUCCUUUAACUGCCAUUUUCUCUCAUUCAAAACUUUCCCCCCUCUUUUAGUUUUCCAGCCCUCUCUCCUGUUUUCAAAAACUCUUCCCCCUCCUUUCAAAAAACUCCUCUUCCUCCUGAUAAAUUAAUUGUGAGUGGUAUUCAUAGGCACAAGUGGAGCGGGGCAGCAGCGUGCGCAUGGGGAGCAGGGGACACCAAGCCAGGGCAGCCUACGCUGCUCCCCACUCCUGAGGGUCUCAGGCAGCGGCAUGCACAUGGGAGGAACGGUGUCUACACUAUUUUGGUUUUUUUUUCUUUUUAUUUUUUUAUUUUUGUGGGGAUCCAAAAAUGGGUUACAACAGAUGCCCCCUCUUUAUAAUACUUACGGAGCAGAGAUUUUGCGUAGUAAGUUUUAUAAAGAUAAAUAAAACUGAAUUUCUGAAACUGAUAUUGUUGAAGUUUUAUCGAUCUGAAACUUUGUCUUUAUAGCUAUUCCCCUUCAACCCGAAACAACGAUCAAAACAUUGUCAUCUUGAGAUCCCAAUCUGGCGAUCCUCUGACUUCUAACUUCGAUUAAUUUAACUUGGAAUUCCAUUUUGAGAUCUCUUUUGGCAAUCUCUUUUAACCAAAAAAUUUAUAUUUGCAGCUUGGCCAACCUGAAAUCCCAUCUGGCGAUUUGCCUUAGCCAAAGCUAAUAUCUGUGUUGCGGUUGGGUUAACCUGAGAUCCCUUCUGGCGAUCUCCUUUAACCAAAACCCAAAAAAACUAUUUUGCAGCUCGGUCAACCUGGAAUCCCAUCUGGCGAUUCCCUUUAACCAAAGCUGAAAGAUGAGAUCCCUUCUGGCGAUCUCUUAAAAUUCCUAGAAAACUCCACGCUUUUCUAAGGAAUGGUCUCAAUAUCGGGUGACCUACCCAUCUUAAGAUUCUUUAGAAAACUCCACGCUUUUCUAAGGAAUGGUCUCAAUAUCGGGUGACCUGCCCAUCUUAAAAUUCUUUAGAAAACUCCACGCUUUUCUAAGAAACGGUCUCAAUAUCAGGUGACCGACCCAUCUUAAAAUUCUUAAAAAACUCCACGCUUUUCUAAGAAACGGUCUCAAUAUCAGGUGACCGGCCCAUCUUAAAAUUCUUAGAAAACUCCACGCUUUUCUAAGGAAUGGUCUCAAUAUCGGGUGACCUGCCCAUCUUAAGAUUCUUAGAAAACUCCACGCUUUUCUAAGAAACGGUCUCAAUAUCAGGUGACCGGCCCAUCUUAAAAUUCUUAGAAAACUCCACGCUUUUCCAAGAAACGGUUUCAAUAUCAGGUGACCGGCCUCUCUUAAAAUUCCUAGAAAACUCCACGCUUUUCUAAGGAAUGGUCUCAAUAUCGGGUGACCAGCCCAUCUUAAAAUUCUUUAGAAAACUCCACGCUUUUCUAAGGAAUGGUCUCAAUAUUGGGUGACCUGCCCAUUGUAAGAUUCUUAGAAAACUCCACACUUUUCUAAGAAACGGUCUCAAUAUCAGGUGACCGGCCCAUCUUAAAAUUCUUAGAAAACUCCACGCUUUUCUAAGAAACGGUUUCAAUAUCAGGUAACCGGCCCCUCUUAACAUUCUUUAGAAAACUCCACGCUUUUCUAAGGAAUGGUCUCAAUAUCGGGUGACCUGCCCAUCUUAAGAUUCUUAGAAAACUCCACGCUUUUCUAAGAAACGGUCUCAAUAUCAGGUGACCGGCCCAUCUUAAAAUUCUUAGAAAACUCCACGCUUUUCCAAGAAACGGUUUCAAUAUCAGGUAACCGGCCUCUCUUAAAAUUCCUAGAAAACUCCACGCUUUUCUAAGGAAUGGUCUCAAUAUCGGGUGACCUGCCCAUCUUAAGAUUUUUAGAAAAACUCCAUGCUUUUUAAAAUGUGGUCUCAAUGUCGGGUGACCUGCCCGUUAUAAGGUUUUUUAGAAAAACUCCACGCUUUUUCUAAAAGUAGUAUCAAUGUUAGGUGACCUGCCCGUUAUAAGAUUUUUUAGAAAAACUCCAUGUUUUUUUUCUCUAAAAAGUGGUCCCAAUGUCGGGUGACCUGCCCGUUUUGAAUCUCAAAAUAAAUCAUCUUACCUCAAGGAAUGAAGCAGUGUUAGCUCACCAAUCUCCUCCGUAUUUCCGUUGACCUUAGAUUCGGUAUCUCAACGGUUCCCAAAAACUUGGAACUAUUUUGGCUUUCGCCACUCCUUUCCUGCCAGGUUAAUGUUUAUGACAGUAUAGUAUGCAUGCUUUUGUUACCUAUUUUGGAAACAUAGGUCCCCCUUUCCGUUGUAGCCGUCUUUGAGCUCCUGUUUCCAUUUAUUUGCAUGUCCUGUCCUUUUCGAACCAGAAUAUGCUCCACGCGCUACACUUCUUAUCCUCUUGGUGAAGAGAUCUUUGGUUCCUUUUGGGGCCCUUUCUUGCUCCAUUGAGUAUUGGCUUUUAUUAUUAUUUUAAAAGGAAAACUCAAAAGAUUUGGUUUUGUUCAUGAAAACUGAAACUUUCAAUGCAAUUAGUAAUUCCCAUAAAAGAUGCUUUUUCAGAAGUUUUUAUGAUGAUACCCCUUUUGGGCUUUGGUUAACUUUGGGCCCCUAUGUGCACUUCGUGCGCUCCUUGCCCCCAGUGUGGUGUGCAAAAAUAUGUCAAGUCUAGAUUUGAUUUGAUUCUCUCCAAUUGAUGGAGUCAUCUCCUUAGUCAUGCGUUAAAAACAAUUCUUUUAAGUAAAAGAUUUCAACUGCUAUGAGAUCAUACGUUUUAUGAAAAAAGGUUCUUUACAAAGAAAAUUCAUGGCCGAACUUUAUUUUAUUGACUAGGAAGCAUAGUAUUUCUUUAUAGAGUCAUCAUUCACAAGUUUAACUAGAUCUUCUCCAUCCAUCCUAGAUAACAAAUAAAGCUCCUCUCGAGAAUGUUUUCUUUAACACGUAAGGGCCCUCCUUGUUUGGCGCCCUUUUACUUUGAUCCUCUUCUGGUAAAGGCUCUAUUCAGUAAAACAUCUCCUUCAUGGAAUCUUUGAGGUCAUAACUUCUUAUCAUAUGAUUAGGCCAUCUUUGAUGAUGAUAGAUUGCAGCUAUCCUCUUUUCACUGAUCAUAUUCAACUAUUCAUAUCUAACUUUUACCCAUUCCACCUCUUUUAAACUCAGAGUCUACCAAUACUCUUAAUGAGGGGUUUUUCCACUUUUAAAGGCAUCACUGUCUCCAUUCCAUAUACCCACGUAUAUGGGGUGGCUCCUAUUGAGGUUCAGACUGCGGUGCGGUACGCGUAAAGGGGCCAAUGGCAACAUUUCAUGCCAACACUUGUACAUGACUACCAUCUUCUAAAUAAUCUUCUUGACAUUUUUGUUAGUAGCUUCUACCGCACCAUUCAUCUUUGGCCUACAUGGCGAGGAAUUCGGAUGCAUGAUUUUCCAUUUAGCGCACAGUUCUAUUAUCAUCUUGCCAAUUGAAAUUCUGGGCAUUAUCAGUUAUAAUCUUUUUCUGGUGGACCAUACUGACAAAUCAAAUCUCUCUCAAUAAAUUUCUUCACCACCUUUUGCCUCUACGUCAUCCAAACAUAUUCUCANNNNNNNNNNNNNNNNNNNNNNNNNNNNNNNNNNNNNNNNNNNNNNNNNNNNNNNNNNNNNNNNNNNNNNNNNNNNNNNNNNNNNNNNNNNNNNNNNNNNNNNNNNNNNNNNNNNNNNNNNNNNNNNNNNNNNNNNNNNNNNNNNNNNNNNNNNNNNNNNNNNNNNNNNNNNNNNNNNNNNNNNNNNNNNNNNNNNNNNNNNNNNNNNNNNNNNNNNNNNNNNNNNNNNNNNNNNNNNNNNNNNNNNNNNNNNNNNNNNNNNNNNNNNNNNNNNNNNNNNNNNNNNNNNNNNNNNNNNNNNNNNNNNNNNNNNNNNNNNNNNNNNNNNNNNNNNNNNNNNNNNNNNNNNNNNNNNNNNNNNNNNNNNNNNNNNNNNNNNNNNNNNNNNNNNNNNNNNNNNNNNNNNNNNNNNAUAAUCAAAAUCGGAUAUUGUUGUUAUUGCACCCAUACACAUUUAUUUUUCUAAUAUUCAGCUCCAAUGCCACCUCUAAAACGAGAAUGCAAGCUUCAUACUCCUAUGUUGUUAUUGCAACCAAACUGCAACUUAACUAAAACCGAAUACUACUUUUUAUUAGGAGAGAUUAUCAUUGCCCCAGCUCUGUUAACACAUACGUUUACAUCACCAUCAAAGUACAUAGUCCACCAAUCUAAUUUCCCUUCCUCCAACUGAAAGCACAUCUUCAUCAAGAAAAUCAAAUUUUAAUGACUCAUAAUCUUCUCUAGCAUGGUCAGCUAGGUGAUCGGCAAUGACAUUCAUGGCUUUCCUUAUCAUAUAUACUAUGUUGGACACCCAUUGUGGAUAUUUGACUACCUCUAGAAAACCGGUGUUCCACUGCUUUUCAAUUUCUACCUUUACUUUUUUUUAACCGAUUUGCAUCCUUCUACUAGUGGUACCAUAUACAAACCAGGCACAUCCUUAUAGGACCAAGAAAAAAUAUCUAUAUAAUCUCGAAGUAACCCACUCUUCUCUUUCUUUAGGAGUGAUCAUAGUCCAUAUCUUCAAUUUUUCUCUUAUUUUUUCAUUGCCCGCAUCUAUGGUUUCAAGUUCCUCUCUGGCGGGUUUCCGAGCUUGUUCAUGUUGUCCUAUUUUCAUCCACUUCUUCCUCUUCUAUAGCUACUAUGUUUUCUUAAGUUUGGCCAUUCAUUCUCAGUGUAAAGUGUAGAUGUUUGUUUUGAAAGAUCGGAUUUGAAAACAGAAAGUGAUGUGUAAAAACAUCAAGAUGAACCUUUGAAAAUGCAUGAUUUCAUUAAAGGGAAAAAUUGUCUCAAAACAUUUGCUUGAGCAAACCGAUUAGGUGCGCAACAUCAUUCCAAACUCCAUCAAGCUUUCUUUGGUACUGAGCUUUUGGGUUUAACCUUUCUUCAUUUUCCGUCCUUUUCUUUGUCGAGUGUUGUGGAUUCUAGAAGGGGGAUCUAUGUUUGUAGGUCUGAUGCGUGCAUAGAUGUAUAAGAAAAUGCAUGACAUAAUGCAUGAUUGUCAUAAGAAUGCUUUGUAUAUUGGGUAUGGAUGCAGCCUUCUAGUGAACGAAUAACAGCCACCACCUUAUAAACAUAGGCUCUCUUGUCACAUUGCUAGGAGUACUGCCUUUCAAGUCGUUUGCUUGAAUCAUGUUCACCAAGAGACAGAUUUUGCAUAAGAAGAUGGGUCAACGUCCUUUUCAUUGAUGCUUGAUAAGUUUAUUACCUUUCCUCCACAAACUCUCUAGCCAAAGGUAAAAAGGCAAAGUCGCGAUUCUCAAUCUUCCCUAGAAAGGCAUCGGUUUUUAGCUAGGCUUCGGCGAUAGCAAAUGAUGUCCCCUCCCACUUUUCAUGCAUUGAUUCUAAUAAUCCGAGUAUGUGCAGCAACUUCGUCCAUUUCCUCGUCUGUCUUGGUCAUCUUUUUAUGAGCAACAUAUUGGUUUUGUUCAAAGCAGCAUUGUUAGCAUUGAUUUGAUCCUUGUAUUUUUCCAUUGCUGCUAGCUUAUUGUCCAAAUACUUCCACCUUUUCGCGCUUCUUGUCAACUUUUUAUCUCAUUCUUCUUAACCGCUAACUCCGCUUCAAUAGCCUUAAAACCUUUCCUUUUACUCUCUUCCUUUACAAUCUCCAUCGAAUGGUUUUCCAACUCCAUAUAUUUCUUGUUCAAAUCCUCAUACUUCCCAAUCCUAUCCAUCAGUUGGAAUUGAACUUGUGCAAAUUUUUCUUGGGUAUCUUUUGUGCUUCCUUGGCAAUCUUUAAAGUCAACCUCCAUUGCUUCAAGUUCAAAGCAACUUUGCAUCCAAUCCAAACUCAUCCCUCCUAACUCAUUCUCACUUUUUUCCUAGCAAUCUUCUCUUCACUUAGCUUUAACUCAAGCUUUGUUAUUCUCGCAUCUUUAGAUUGUGUUUGUUCAUCUAGAAAUGUUCUUCUUUUAUCUUCUUCCAGCAAUCAUUUCUUCCAACAUUGCCUUGUCUUCUCAACUCCUCUUCAUUAUUGUCCCUUUUUCUCUUGAUAGGCUCUUCUAUAAUUUGGGGAGAUUUGACUCCUACACAAGGCAUGGCUAAAGCAACUAAGUCUCUUGAUCUUGCAUAUCCUUCACUUGCACUUGGAUCCUUUAAACCUUCUAUCUCAACCAAAACCAGAUGCUUCCAAUCUUGUGUGAUGAUCUCCACAACUUCUUGUGCGAUGGGAUCUUUGAACAAACCAAAGAAUUAAGCAAUUCCCAUAGUCCUUGGAACAAAUUGCAUGCCCCCAAGUUACCUUACCACAAGGGCAGGAGCAUAACUUACAUAACCUGUGAUCCCUACCAAAGGCGCCCAACGUUUCUGUCCACAACUCAUGAGGACUUUCACUGUCGUUACCCACGGGGCUCUCCACUUGAAAUCACUAUUAGGCAAACCUUCUAAUUUGUCAAUCCAACCCUGAUUGUCUAGAUCUUCCCAUUCUUCUUCUUCUACCAACUUCAGGGGUCUUUGGGUGAACCACCAAAAAUUAUUGAAGACAUGUUUUUUUGUUUCGAUGUGGCUAACCAUCUAGAUAUACAACAACUGCAUGCAACAUCUCAUUGCUCCUUUUCCGCUCCUUUUCCAGUCUUCCUACAAUGGUUAAGUGUCAAGAUGGUUUCAGCUAAAUUAACAGCCACUAGAUUGAUUUGUGUAUUCUCAUACUCUACAUAAGCAGCAGCGGCCUCCAAACUCACUAAACCUGUUUGACUUGGGAACAACACAAGGCCAAAAAUGCCCAAGGCAAUCAAUCUCUCUUGUUCUGAUCCUGACUUCUUUUCCAGCUCAAUUUCUAGCAUCCUCCAUUUCAGACUGGUAUCAUUCAUUCCCAAAACUUUUUCCAAGUUGGAGAUUCUAAGCAGUUUUGACAAUUCAGGGAUGAUCUUGUCAGAUCUCAAAGAAAAAUAAAUCAUAUACAAAUUGUUUGGAAACUUAGUCAACAUCCUAUGUUCCUCCAUAUUAGGACAUAUGUCUAUGCUUCCAAAAGAAAAACACUGGUAGUCUGGAUCUCCAAAUGAACUAAGACUCGCACAGCUGUGCUUAAAACUUCUACCCUUUCAAUUUCCAUCAAACGUCCAUAUUUAUUAAAAAAUGCAUCCUUAUCCACAUCCUGAAAGUGAGUCGUUAACUUGUUCACCUAAUUCAUAAUGCAAUUCAGGUUCUUGAUUGGUGACAGCUUCUUAGCAUCGCUUCUAAGGCAGUCUCCUUCAGUCAAUUGUGACAUUUCAGAAUUUUUUUCAUAUUCUAUGAUGGGAAAUUUAGCAAUGGUGGCCAUUUCAUUCACAAGUCCUGGGAUUCAAAAUGCCUUAGGUUUAGACUUGUUUUGAUGCAAAAGAUAUUAUGGAGCAUACAACCUUAAGGAUAGGUUCUAGUUCCUUUACGUGAGACAUAGGGUAGGUUUACUACUUGGUCUCUAAAAAAGGGUCUCUUGCUGUCCCAGUGAUCGCCCUCGUAAAGCAAUAUAGGGGUUCAGCAGAUAGUGGGAUGGCACAUGUACCAAUCACUAUCAGUCUAAACACUCAGCAAAGAGUUGGGGUUUACACAAACUUAAACCUUGACUCAAGUCAUAAGGCAAGCUGCUAGUCCCCCACCUAACUUAAAGUUUAAUGUGUGUGCUCUCGACAAGAUAGUAAUAAUACAAGUGAUGCAUGAUAGGCUCUGCAAUAAAAUCUAUAUCCAUAUCCGAUAUACCAUGCAUGAUAGGAUGUAAAGAUGCAUGCUAAAGCUUUUAAACAAAGUAUCAUUCAUAGUAAAAAAACAACAACACAUGGCAUAACAAAAAAAAAAACAAUUACCAAGCUUAGUCCAAGGGUCCCUAGUGGAGUCGCCAUCCUGUCGCACCCUCCCGAGAGCUCGACGUCGCGGAGACACUUCCUCCGUAGCGGGGAUUGAUUGUUGGGGUCUUUCUGUUGUGAAAAAGGGAGUCGCCACCUAGUAUUAUGGUCACUAGGAAACCUAACUGGUCUUUCAGAGAUUCUAAGGCAAGGGACUGGUUGCGUAAAGGGAAGGUUUUAGCACCCCUAGUACGCCCUACCUAAGGUAAGCUGCUUGGUGUUUGAUUUGUCUUAUAAUUGUUAUGGUGUUGAUGUUCUCUAAUCCCAUCAGUUUCCUAGGAUAAGUCUGCUCUGAUGAACGAAAUCUAGGGUGCUUUAAAAACCUAUUUUUUGUCUCGUAAACCGUGGAGUAAAAAAAAAAUUGAAAUGUCCUCGAUUAUAAUCAAGGCUUCUUUCAAGGAUUUGUGCGGAUUUAUUAUUCCUAGAAAAUUAUUUUGGAUAUUUACCACUCCGGGUUUCUUUAUCCAAAUAUUAACAGUGAAUAAUAACAAAUUAUUCCCAAUAAUAUUUUGGAUAUUCGUCCUUUAAGGAUUUCUUUAUCCAAACAUUAGCGGUGAAUAAUAGAUGAAUUCCCCCAAAAUAAGAUUUUUAUAUUUUUUGGAAUAUUGGCCAAUACCCUUUGGAGUUUUACAAACAUGUUGUAAAAUCCAGAAAUGCAAGAAAAAUGAUUUUUGUUGUGUUUAAGAAAUCCAUGCGAAAACACAUUUUCAAAGAUUCAAAUAUUUGUUUUUUAUAUAUAAAAACAUAAAAACAAUGUUAGGGUAUUGGCCGUAUGCAGGAAAACAAAACAUUUUUGCAUUUUUAUAUUUUUUUUUAUGUCUCGACGAAAACCGGGUAUUUUCAUACCGGACUUGUAUCUUUACCAUAUAAAAAAUACAAGCAGAUAUUGAUAAACAAUGCAUCAACAAACUUUCAGAAAAUCACAUAUUUAAAUAAUUCUUUUAAAGAAAAUUUUCCGAACGGGCCAGACCCGGCCCAAAAGGAAAAUGGGCCGAAAUCAGCCCAAAAAUAAAAUGGGCCAACUUUCUACAGGGCUGGACUCAGCCCAGCCCAAAACCACAUGAUGGGUACUGUUCACUAUACAGGAACCGUGUUACUGUUCCUCUGCACAUGCACAGUAACCGGGUAAUUAUUAUUCUCACAUUAACAAAGCAAACUGCAUGCAAAAGACCACGUUACUGUUCAAGUGAAUUAAAUUUCACUUGAACAGUGCAAACACAAAGCAAAAAAUUACACAGUGCGGGAGGUUACAGUUCAAUCCAAGCUGGCGGGUUACUGUUCAAGUGAAUUAAAUCACUUGAACAUGCAAAUACAAAGAAAACAAAUGCACGCAAAGGGUGAAGAGAACACCUGGAGACGAAGAAGCUGUCUGCGUUCGUCUGUUUCAAAUCUUUUACUCCUGUCCUGUAUUGGCGUCUGUUUUCCUGUUUUUGCUUUCCUCUACGUCUGUCACUUUCUGCUCUUUCUUCUUCCCUGUUCUGCAGAUGUUAUAUGUAAAAAAAAUGAAAGCAAAGACCGAAAGAGAUGAUGAGCUGGUGCGGUUGGUGGUGUUGCUGCGACUGCUCUUCCUCCUCUCUGGUGUUACUGCGCUGCCUUUCCUCCUCGUCUGUGCAGUUGCUGGUGCAGUUGGUGGUCUUGCCAUUUUCGUCUACUGGCUUCUUGUUUCCUCCUCUUUCUAUCUGCCUUCGGGUUCCUCUGGUGCUGGUGCUUGCUGAAGAUGGAGGUCGGGAAGGAUAUCCUGCUGUCAUGUUACUGCUGUUGUUUGCUGCUUCAGGAGGAAGGAUCCGGCUAUUGUGCUGUUCUUGCUUAUUGCUGCUCAAAGUGGCUGAGGAAUUGCAACUGGUGAUGACCGCGCCCCUGCUGGUUCAUGCUCCCAGUGCAGAGCAGAACACAGCUACUGCUGGCGACGGGGAAAAGAUAUAGACGCUUGGGAUCAGCUGCUGGUGCAGAGACGAGACUGGUUGCCAUCCUGGAUUGCUGCUGCGGCUAGUACCCACUCCUGGUGAUUGAGGGGCUGCUAGUCAGCGAUGGCUGCUGGAGCUGAAGACGACGCCGUUGUUGAGGCUGGAGAUGGCUGCGUACUGGUGCGGGACUCAGAGAAGAGCUGUCUGUUUGGAAUGUGAAGCAAAACUCCUGACGCUGCUUGUGGCUCACGAUUUUGGCUGGUCUUAAGAGAAGCUGUUGGAUCGUGGGGGAGAAUCUGGUGGUGUUGGGAGGAAGCCGACAAUGUCUCACGGUGGUCAGGAAGGUGGCGGUGUGCUCCCAAACGGUAGAGGGAGAGAGCAGAGAGAGAGGUUACCGUUCUCCUCUUCCCCUCUGUUUUCCUCCUUUAACUGCCAUUUUCUCUCAUUCAAAACUUUCCCCCCUCUUUUAGUUUUCCAGCCCUCUCUCCUGUUUUCAAAAACUCUUCCCCCUCCUUUCAAAAAACUCCUCUUCCUCCUGAUAAAUUAAUUGUGAGUGGUAUUCAUAGGCACAAGUGGAGCGGGGCAGCAGCGUGCGCAUGGGGAGCAGGGGACACCAAGCCAGGGCAGCCUACGCUGCUCCCCACUCCUGAGGGUCUCAGGCAGCGGCAUGCACAUGGGAGGAACGGUGUCUACACUAUUUUGGUUUUUUUUUCUUUUUAUUUUUUUAUUUUUGUGGGGAUCCAAAAAUGGGUUACAACAGAUGCCCCCUCUUUAUAAUACUUACGGAGCAGAGAUUUUGCGUAGUAAGUUUUAUAAAGAUAAAUAAAACUGAAUUUCUGAAACUGAUAUUGUUGAAGUUUUAUCGAUCUGAAACUUUGUCUUUAUAGCUAUUCCCCUUCAACCCGAAACAACGAUCAAAACAUUGUCAUCUUGAGAUCCCAAUCUGGCGAUCCUCUGACUUCUAACUUCGAUUAAUUUAACUUGGAAUUCCAUUUUGAGAUCUCUUUUGGCAAUCUCUUUUAACCAAAAAAUUUAUAUUUGCAGCUUGGCCAACCUGAAAUCUCAUCUGGCGAUUUGCCUUAGCCAAAGCUAAUAUCUGUGUUGCGGUUGGGUUAACCUGAGAUCCCUUCUGGCGAUCUCCUUUAACCAAAACCCAAAAAAACUAUUUUGCAGCUCGGUCAACCUGGAAUCCCAUCUGGCGAUUCCCUUUAACCAAAGCUGAAAGAUGAGAUCCCUUCUGGCGAUCUCUUAAAAUUCCUAGAAAACUCCACGCUUUUCUAAGGAAUGGUCUCAAUAUCGGGUGACCUAAAUUAUUUCUCCCAAGCCAGCCGACUGCCUCCCUCCCUUUGCAAAAAAGGCUGGCCGCCGCUUCCCCCAGUUUUGGUUCCCUUUGGCUCCUUCUUAAACCUUCAGCCCCUCCAUCACUAGGGUCUUCAUUUCCACGAUCUCCCCUAAGCUGGCCCCUGACCCAUUUCCGGGCAUUGCCAGCAGUGGCGCUGCAUGGAGCAAAUGCGCCGUCAUUAUUCUGGCAGAUUCCAGAAGGCUUUCCACUGAUCCUGUAGUUUCUGGGGGCUUAUUUUGUAAUUUUUGAAUUGUAUUUGAUACAUUUUAAAUUUUUGUUAUUUUGAAACAUGUCAAAAUGAUGUGUGAGUUGAGCAUAAUAAAAAAAAGUGAUGUGUGUGUGUGUCUGUUUGUAUUUUCUUUUAUAUAUGUUUUCUUUUAAUGUUAAAAUAAAAAAGACAAAAAUAUUAAAAAGAAGAAAAAAGAAUUAAGUGUUUAAUUUGUAUAUGGUCAAGUAUUUUAAGGACAAAUAAAAUCAUGUUGUACUUCUCGUGAAAAUGUAAGUUAUUUUGAUUAUUUUAAAGACAAGUAUUUUUUAAUUUUUUUAUAUGCUAGAUUUGAUUUUUAUUAUUUUGAUUAUUAUUUAUUUUAUUUAAAAUAAUUUAUAGAAUUAAAUUUCUUUUUUAAUUUCAUUAUCUUUAUUUUUUAUUUUUAUAAUAAACUUGAAGAGAAAAACUCAAAUAUUAAUAAGUUAUUUUUUAAUUUAUUUUUUAUGACAUGAACAAACAUUUGAAAUUAUUUUUUAACAUAUUUUUUAAUUUAUUUUUCUUAACACUAUUAAAUAUAAAUAAAUAACUUACUUUGUAAGAAUUUAUUUUCUAUAAAAACUACCUUUUAAAAGAAACUACUUUAAAUAAACGGGGCUCAAAUCUCACUCUCAUGGCUUUAUUUUUCAAGUUUUAAGAGAUAGAUAGACCUUCAUAACCGCAUGUGGUUAUUUAUCAUGAUAUUACCUUCUUCUGGAAUUAGGACAUGAUGAAAAUAGGCAAACAGAACCUAAUAAUUUAGUGAUUCUCAAUGUUUUGGAAGAUUUUUGCGAAAGAAAAAUUAUUACAAAUUUCCCUAGUCAUGAUCAUAUCCAUGACAUCUGACAAAAUUAUUAUAAACAUAAUUUUUUUUUGCAAACAUUUAGACAAAAGAGUUUAUUAUUUUGGCGAAAAACAACUAGUCAUCACCCAAAGAAACCGAGUGAAUGAGAAAAAAAGACAAAUAGCUAGAAAACAAUCAACAGAUCCCAAGAACUUUCUGUAUGGUUUUCAAGAAAUAAAGAAACGAGCAGCACAACCCGUUCUGAGUCUAGUGUAUUAACCUAGAAGGAUUCAAAUCAAUAAUUUCUUCUAAAUGAUCAAAACAUGUUGUUUUGAAAAGACCAAAAAUAUCAAUUAGAAAUCUUAUCGAGUUUUGACUAGAUUACAAGUCAAUUCAUCAUCAAAUCAAUCGGGUCAACCUAUAUUAAUGUUGGGUUAACUUUUUUCUUAUACCCAACCCGAGCAAGCUAACGGUUUGUUCAAAUCAAGUUUAAUAACAAUGUUUUCAUCUAUUUAACUAACCCUUUUAAUCUAUAUAUUUGCGUUGAUGUAUUUUUUUUCAUUCCACAGUAAAAGAAAAUCUCUUGAUUUCUCAUGAACAAUCUUAAAACUGUUCUUCAAGAUUCUGAAGGAAAAGACAUUAAAGAAGCUUCUUAUGACAUGCAGUUUCAACGAAAACUCCUUCAUGCUAUUUUCCAAGAUACUUCUACCCACUAGAAACCUGGAAAAACUUAAAUAAUAUCAGCAAAAGUUUUGUUGUCAAUGAACAUGGCAGUAACAGGUUGGGAAUGUGUCAGCAUGCGAAGUGCCAAAGGGUAAAAGUAUUAUUAAAGAGGCGUGACACAAACGAAGCUACCCCUUACCUACUCCUGGGAAGGAAUGUCAGACUAUACAGCUUUUUCAAUUCAUUAAUGUCGUUCUCUGUUUGUCUUCUAAAACCUACUCCCAUCAUAUACAUGUAUUAUAUUCUUAAAAUUGCUCUAUGGGAUUGCAGGUCAUGCUCGUUUGAUUGCUUUUUUUUAUAUUCUUUUCAUGCUCUUCCAAAUAAGGCAGGGAAGGAGGACCUGAAAUCACGGCAGCGAAUAAAUCACGGCAGCGAAUAAGGAGAGAAAUAGCCCGUUUGUCUUUGCUUCUUUCUUUUAGUAUUUUUGAAAAACAUUAAUUUUUUUACUUUAAAUUAUUAUUUUAUAUUUUCAUAUUAUAUUGAUAUAUUUCUAAAUAAAAAAAUAUUUUAAAAAAUAACCGCUAACACACUCUUUUUAAGCUAUUAAGUAAACCAGUCCCUAUAAUUUGUCAACAUUGCAUUUUGGUACCAUCCAUUUUUUUCUUGUGUUCAUACUUAAAACCUUCUUAAAGGAUUCUUAUUAAUAGCUUUAAAACCUCUCUCUCAAGAUUAAAAGGUUAGAAAUAACUUUAUGCUCUCUAAGUCUAACAAAACCACCAAGUACCCUUAAAAUCAAAACCAUCAUUGCAAAACCAGUUUAGUACAAAAAAUUUUAGCUGUUAGCUUUUAUCCAGAACCUUUUACUUUGAUCAAAUGGUUAAACUUUCAUUAAUUUUUGAGGGAAUCCACAAAAAAACCUAGAAAAACCUAUAAAUACUCUUGAAAAUUAGAGCUGGAGAGGAGGAGAAAAUGAGAGAAAAAGAGAGGAAAAACGUGUGUAAAUAAUUUGUUAAUAGACUCUAUUAUAAAGGUUCAAGAGGCUAAUAUAAAAGGUCUAACCAGCUUUAGAAAGAAAACGAGGGAAAGGAAAAGAAGGAAGGAAAUGAAAAUAAAAAAAUAACAACGUAAUUUUGAACUUAAAGGUCUAAUUUCAGUGAAAGUUAAGAGCAUUAGAGACUAGACCGUGCUUAUACCAAAAACGACUCUCAUCGUUGAAGGAAUGCAAACAGUUGUUAACGAGACACUUAUGCUGUUCCAACAUUCAAAGAUUGUUGAAUCUAGUACUGGUGCUCAUUCUGGAUCUAGUACCAAAAGGAGAAUAUAGAAAGAGAUAGUAGUGAAUUAAUUAUCUUUCAUUCAGUAGUAAGAAACAAACGGGGGCACUGCAUUUAUAAUAGCCAGAGAGGUGUUUUUAUAUACAAUCAACAAUUAAGGUAUCUUCUUGUGCUGAGCUUCCAUCAUGGUUGCAAGACAUUACCAUUGGGGCAAGGUUAUUUUGCUCGUAAAAGCAAGUUUUAAUUAAAAACUAAAUAAAUAAAGUAUUGAAAAUUAUUAUAAUCAAUAUGAAAAAACCUAAUAACAAUAGAUUAUUAUUCUUGUUAAAACCCUGACUUCAUAAUAAAAUUUGAUUAUCCUAAUACAAGACUUAAUACAAUUUCAUAGUUGUGGAACACUAACUAGAUAUAAAGAAAAAGUACAAAUUACAACAAAAAAUACAGGUUUUGAAGGUCCAACAAAAAUGAUUUGCUAACAAGCUAUAAGCUUGAGAAAGAUAAAUAAUGAGAGUGUGAGUUCAAAAACUCAGUGAGUAGAUAACGUUCAAUAUACAUACACGAGGUAAUACAACAAUGAGGAAUAUAUAUAUAUAUACAAUUAUGGCUUUAGAUUCUUAUAGGUAGGUUUCUCAAAUAGGCCAUAACAAGGAUAUCGUAAGGUAAAAUUUGUUAGAAAAUCAAAAUGCAAUGAGCAUGAGGCUCCGUACUAUGAGAUGAUCAAUCCACACAGGUUGAUGACUCUCUCGACCAACUAGGGUUUCAAAUACGAUGUGCACUAAGACUAACACUACUCUGUUAGCAUGAGCAUUCUAACUGGCAUACCAUAAGUUCAUAUCAUAAUCAAACAAACAAAUUCAUAUCUCAAGGCCCAACUCAUGACAUUAAUAAAAUAAGAAGCUAUCAAUUCAGAAGUCAAUUUAGAAGUAUAUAUUGGCUUAUAUCAAGAAUUCAGAUUCAAUAAUUGAUUAUGUUUUAUCAUAACAAAGAUAAUAAUCAACAUAUAUAUUAUCAAGAAGCACAAUCCAAUUCAUAUUAACAACUCAAAUAUUUAUAUUAUUUCUCAUGCAUAUGAAAUUGACUUAAAAGUGAACAGAACUCAAAAGCAAAUACCGAAGAAAAUCCUACUGAUAUUCCGCAUGUAGAAUAUCAAGAUUAUCUAAAUACAAAGGAGACAUAUUAUAAAAUAACUCAAAAAGAACAUACAACCUAUUUAAUACACUUAAUUAAGGGUCUAUUUCAUAACCCUAUAUAUUUUUUUUAACUAAACUAGUUAUUUUUCCCAAAAACCAAAAAAGUAAACGGUUUUCCGGAAAUCUAAUUCAUAAUAAAACAAAUAAUGAGACUUGAUAAUAAUUCACUAAAUAACCACCAAUUAUUUAUCAAAACAAUCUAAAAAAGCUAAUAUUAAAGCUAAGGACCAAUCUGGAAUUUUAUCAUAUUUUUAGGGGUCAAAUUAUAAUUUUAUCAAAUUGGAAGACCAAACUAAAAAUAUCAUAAAUUCAUGACUAUACUGGAAUUCUGCCCAAAAUUCAUCCUCAAUUCUGCCCAGAAUCUCAAAUUAUGCUCCAGGGACCACUAUAGAAUUUUAUCAAAUUUUUAGGGUCAAGUUGUAAUUUCAUCAAAUUGGAGGACCAAAGUGAAAAUGUCAUAAAUUCAUAACUAUACUGGAAUUCUACCCAUAAUUUAUCUUUAAUUCUGUCCAGAAUCUCGGAUUAUACUCCAGGGACCAAUCUCUAAUUUUUCCAAAGUUCAGAGACUAAACUGUAAUUUUCACAAAAUGGGGGACCAAGCUGAAAUUUCAUAAUCUUCAACCUCAAACCAGAAUUUACAUAGAUAACCUACUGAUAUAUCAAGAUUUCUAACUCAAAUUCACCAUUUAAAUAAACCAUAACUCAAAAUCAUCAUUUUUACCUAAAAUUUUUCAAAAUCAACUAAAUAACUCAUUACCCAUAACACUCAACCCAUAAUUUUUUUGUAAUGUAAUUGUAAUUCCUAGCAUAAUGCAUAUUCGAGGGCAAGCACAACAACUCAAGAGCAAAGAAACUUAAUGAAAUAGCAAAAGAAAAAGACUUGAAGGACUGAAAUAAAAUAAAACCAAAAAAGAGGGAUGAAAAAAGUAACCGCACUCUGGUUGCCAUAAAAAACAUAGUUCUUUUAGUAUUUUUUUUUUUUAAAUAUUGUAAUAGGUCAAUCAUAUUACCCGAGUGUGUGACACAGAGAUGAUCAACAUAGAAAAUUACUUUUAAUUGCUUGAGUUUUAUCCUUAGAUGACAAACUUACCUUGUCCUACUAAUGCUUUUGCUUUCAUUGUUUCGAAAGUAAAAGAGACAUAAACAUAAUCAUUUCCUUCCUUUUACUUUCCACUUCUUUGUAAACGGGAUGGUGCUUAGGGGGGCCAGUUUUUCUUUUCCUUUCUUUUUAAAAUCUUAUGCCUAAUUGGGUGAGGAAAUUAGUGGAGCUUUAGAUUUUUUAAAAGACAACAAAAAGAAGCAAUGUCUCAUCUUUUGAUAUGGUGGUCUUCCAUGAUCAGUUUGUUGAUAAAGAUAUCGAGAAACCUAGGUUGGAAGCUAGGCCGGAAGCUAAGCUUCUUUUAAUUAUGAAUUGUUUAUGCAAAGGAAACCCAGAAGCUUGAACAAACAGAAAUGCCUUGUUGAUUUCUCUGCUACUACUCAUUAUUUCCAAUAUUAUUCCAUUAUCUUACCCCAAAGCAAUUAUACAAGAAAUUUCAUUAUCCUGCCCCAAAGGCAAUUUAUUACAAGGACUUCCUUUACCUCCUUUAAGGCAAUUUAUUUGAUGAAAAUUCCUUUAAUCCACCUCAAAGACAAUUUAUCUUAGGGAAUUCCGACAACCCAGGCAAUUUAUUUCUUGGAAAUUCCUUUAACCCGCCCUAAUUAAGGCAUUUUAUCUAAGGGAAUUCCAAAAUAAAUUUAUUUCUUGGACUCAGUAUUCUUUGAUACUAGUUAUUUAUAUAAAAUUUAACAACACUUAAUCAUCUUGCAUUUAAGAAGAAAUUCAAAAGUAAGGAUAACCCUUAUCUAGAGCUCCUGUGGUUCUUGCUCCCGAGAGAAUUGGCUCCACUCCGGACAAAUCUACUAUCAGAAACUCAAGUUUCAACCAAUCAAUAACAUCAACACCCAUUUUAUUUCAAUGCAAUAAGUUUUUCUUAACCAAUUUACUUGAUGAAAGUUCUUAUAAUAAAAGUGACAGAAUUCAAGGUGAAGACAAGCAGAAGGGCGUGAUAGAGUUUGACAAAGAUGAAGCUAGUUCCAAUAAAGGGAAACACUCUAUGCAGGCCAAACAACAGUGGAAAUUCUUAUAAUCCCACCAAUCAAGGAUUACAGGACCCUAGUCCUUCCCAAACCAAUUUGAACUCCCCGUAGAGAAAACAUCUCCAAACCCAUUUUGAAUCACCCACAACAAGCAUCUUCACAACCUGUUCUGAACCCCCCCACAACAAGCAUCUCCACAACAUGAUUUUAUUUCCUUGUGUGACAGGUAGGUCAAAAUUGAAAGAUAUUACUAUUUUCAUUAAUUUUAUUAAAGCUUAAUUUAUUUAUUUAUUUUGCCCUUUUCUUUUAAAAAUGUUAUCUCCUUGGUAAGGAAUCCUUGGUUCCCAACAGCAACUGUAGCAUAGUUAAAGGUUGCGUAAAAAAAUAUCUAAACGCCACCGAAAGUAGUGGAGCAUUAGAAUUUUUAAAAGACAAAACGGGGACAAGUGGGAGACGAAGAAAAAGACAAAAGUAAUCCCAUCUAUUGAUGUGGUGAUCCAAGAGACACCAUAACAUGGUGUUCUUCCAUGAAGUCUAAGAUACACCGUCGUGUUGUUUCAUAUAUAUUUAUAUAUAUGAAAAUAAUAAAACUACCGUUUAAAACAACUCUGAAAACAAAAUUUUUAAUAAUUCAUAAUUUAUAAGCAAACAUCACUUAUAAGCAAAUAAUUAAUGAUGGUUAAACUAAUUCAUUGUUAGGCGGAUAUGUAUUAAGGUUAAGACCCCUCUAUCUAACACUAAUAACUAAUCACUGAUAAUAUUUAUGCAAAACUUGUAGCUUAGGAUGAACUCUCAGAGAUGUGGGCGAGGCAACUCAAAGUAGAAGGGAAGGGGUAACCUCUGAUAACAGAGAAAAUUGUAGAGUAAAGCAACCGAAUUUUCUUAAAUUAACAACAGAAAUCUACAAUGAACAGUUCUCGAGAAGAAACCCAAGAAACGUAUAUAAAGCUACAUGAUGACAUAAUAGGAACCUGCAUUGCCUCCAUUCUAUGAUGAAAGUUCAAGAAAUUUUACGUCGAAACUCAGAGUCUCUCAGACUACAUAUUAGUGGGAUUUCUAUAAACAACUGAUUCUAUUGCAAAGCAACAUUACGAAAAAUUGAAUAUUUCACACAGUCUAAUAAAAGUAGAUUCCAUUGUCAAUUCCUCAACAUUUUCCAAACAAAUCCAUGCUCCUCAUUUUAUACUUUCUCUCUUAUUACCAACUUCAUUGAGUUUCAUAUAAGCAUAGUCAAUCACACAACUAAUAUGUGAAUUCACAAUUUCUUACCGAAAACAUUUUAUCAGUGCAAAUUAAUACAUAAUUUUACCUCUCCUCUUGGUGAAAACACAGACACAACCACCGAGCAGAUCUCUGGUAAUGGUCUCUACAAAUUCCCUACAGUUCCUAUUGCCAACAAACUCCUCUUGCCAUUCCCUAACUUCAUUGAGCCAGCUAAUCUGGAUGAAAGAAAGGACCUCAGCCUUGAAAUUAGCAUCAUAGUCAUGGAACCUUAAAGCAGACCCAACUUUGUAGCUCAUUACCAGUUAAGUAAAAGUUAUCAAUAGCUGUGUAAAUCAUUGAAACUGCCACAAAAGCAACCCAAAUUAGUUAUGAAAUUGAUUCGAUAAAGGAAAGAGGGGAAGAGGGGAAAUGGGUAACGGAAAAUUAAAGAGAGAUGAAGAUCUGCGCAUGACUACCUGUUUUGAGAAUUAUGGAUUUUUAUCCCUAACUCCAAAUUGCACCAAUUAUAAGUUCAUUAAAACAAAUCUGGAACAGAACAGAUGGAAAAAACUCGAAACAACUCGGCUAGAAUUUGGGCAAGAAAUUCAGAACGGCCAAGAUUUUAAAUGAGAUAAAAGUUAUCCCAUUUUGUUCUGUUUUUUUUUUUAAAUUAAUAUGAGAUAUACUAUCCAUUUCAAGCGGAGCAUAAUGGAAUGAACAACCUUGCAUAGAAGACCUAAUUUUAGUGAAACUCAAGUUUAUUGUGUCAAAGAAAAUGUUCUAAAAAAAUGUUUUAAGCAUUAACAAAAUCUAGUUGGCCUAGGCAAUCCACUAUUGUUGCUGUUACCGUUGGUGCAUACUCAAUUACACCAUUGACAUAGUGCAACUGUUUUUCUUUCUUUCUUUCUUUCUUUUAAAAAAUCCAUGUUAUGUUUUUUAUUUGAAGCUUUUUUGUUAACAUCUUUCGCAAUUGGCCUUGGUAUUUUGUUUCCAUUUUCUCUAUGUUUCCUUCUUCUGUAGUUAGAAAACAUCAUGUCUUUGGGUUUGCGCUUGAUACCGCAAAAUUAAGGACACAAUAGUCAAAAAACACAAAAAAAUUUAUAAGUGAAAGGGGUUGCAGUUGUGAACCCUAAAAUUUACAAGUUUAUUUUUUUAAUAAUAAUAAUAAUAAUAAUAAUAAUAAUAAAGAAGUUUGCCUUCUUAGAAAGUUUACAAAGCCUUAAAUUGGUUAGGAACCUCACCUCAACAAGGAAACAAAAAAAAAAAUCCAAAAUUAUAAAGGAAAGAAGCAAAAAAUCUAAAAUAAGCAAGAAAUCUGAAAAUAACAAAGAAAAUCACAAAAAACUAACAAAACCCGGGGCAUCAGUGAGAGUUUUGAUAUUUAAAGAUCCGAUGGUUUGUAUAAAAAUUUGAGCACAAUCCAAUAAUCGAAUAAAAAAUUCUAGCUCUUUUGAGCUGUUAUUCUUGUCUAGUACAACCAAACAUUCUCUUGGGCUUAAACCUGUUCUAUUGGUUCAUAAAUACAUUUACUAAGCCAUCAAUAUUAUUUGUCUGAGGAAAUCCUCAUCUCGUUGUGGGAGACCCACAUCUGACUGCUUAGAAUCACUAGUUAUCGUAGGAUCGACUAUAUCAAAAUUGGUUGGUUUUUUGUUUUCAAAAAGAAUUAAAAUUUGAUGCAGAUGAAAGCUAAAAACACAAUAAUUAAAGAGCACAAAAAAUUUUAUGAGCGAAAGAGGCUGCAGAUGUGAACCUUCAAAUUCACAAGUUUAUUUUCUCUAAAAUAAUAAUAAUGAAGUUUGUUUUCUUAGGAGGUUUCCAAAGCCAUAAAAAUAUCAAGAAUCCUAUCUUAACUUGGAAAUAAAAAUACAAACUCAAAAUUACAAAGGAAAGAAGCAUAAAAUCUAAAAUAAGCAUGAAAUUAAAAAAUAACAAAGAAAAUCACAAAAAACUACCAAAACUAGAGGGCUCAACAAGAUUUUUGUUAUCUAAAGAUUCGAUGGUCCGUAUAAGAAUUUUAGCAUGAUCUAACGAUCGCAUAAGAAAUUAUGACCCUUUUGAGCUAUUAUUUUCGUUUAACGUGACCAAAUCUUUUUUUGUCCUAUACUUGUCUUAUUAAUCCAUAAAUACAUCUCCAUGACCUAUCUUUUUUUUUCCUACUAUAGAUGGAGUUUGACCAUCAUCGUCGUAUGAUUUGACUUAGUUGUAUCGGUAUUCAAUCAGAUCAACUUUAUAUAUUAUGGGUUUACAUUUACUAUUUUAAAAAAAUGCUCAUUAUCGGUUUUCGAUCACCAUAAGUCCAUUGUUCACACCUCAAGUCCGUACCUGCAGCGGAUCGCAGGCAACGAAACUAUAGACUCGAGAGUAAACAUGCUACUAUAGUUAGCAAGUAAGGGUCCAGGUCAUUUGUUGUCUGGUUUCAAAUAGAGUUUCAACUCAUUUAAUAAAUAUAUACAUGGCUCAUAGUUGGAUUAUUUGUGUUUUUGUUAUUUGUUCCUCCCAGUACUUGUACCAGAAGCUGCUCUCAUAUUUGAAGGAAUGCAAACAAUUGUUAAUAUGAAACUUAUGAUGCAUAGGAAAUUGCCAUUUUUCUCAUUUUUAAUUCAAAGAAAAAUCACAAGUAAGUUUUUGUUAGAAAAUAACUUCUUAUUUCAAUCAGAAGUGUGCCACUAAAUUGAUUUAUAAGUAAGUUUUUAAAUCGUGGAUUAUAUCUUACAUUAUAUUUUUUUAUUUACAAAAGUUUAUUUGAGUUAUUUUUAUUAAAAAUACUUAUAAUUUAAAUAAUUUUAAUCCUUUUUAUCAUAAAUUAUUUAUUAAAAANNNNNNNNNNNNNNNNNNNNNNNNNNNNNNNNNNNNNNNNNNNNNNNNNNNNNNNNNNNNNNNNNNNNNNNNNNNNNNNNNNNNNNNNNNNNNNNNNNNNNNNNNNNNNNNNNNNNNNNNNNNNNNNNNNNNNNNNNNNNNNNNNNNNNNNNNNNNNNNNNNNNNNNNNNNNNNNNNNNNNNNNNNNNNNNNNNNNNNNNNNNNNNNNNNNNNNNNNNNNNNNNNNNNNNNNNNNNNNNNNNNNNNNNNNNNNNNNNNNNNNNNNNNNNNNNNNNNNNNNNNNNNNNNNNNNNNNNNNNNNNNNNNNNNNNNNNNNNNNNNNNNNNNNNNNNNNNNNNNNNNNNNNNNNNNNNNNNNNNNNNNNNNNNNNNNNNNNNNNNNNNNNNNNNNNNNNNNNNNNNNNNNNNNNNNNNNNNNNNNNNNNNNNNNNNNNNNNNNNNNNNNNNNNNNNNNNNNNNNNNNNNNNNNNNNNNNNNNNNNNNNNNNNNNNNNNNNNNNNNNNNNNNNNNNNNNNNNNNNNNNNNNNNNNNNNNNNNNNNNNNNNNNNNNNNNNNNNNNNNNNNNNNNNNNNNNNNNNNNNNNNNNNNNNNNNNNNNNNNNNNNNNNNNNNNNNNNNNNNNNNNNNNNNNNNNNNNNNNNNNNNNNNNNNNNNNNNNNNNNNNNNNNNNNNNNNNNNNNNNNNNNNNNNNNNNNNNNNNNNNNNNNNNNNNNNNNNNNNNNNNNNNNNNNNNNNNNNNNNNNNNNNNNNNNNNNNNNNNNNNNNNNNNNNNNNNNNNNNNNNNNNNNNNNNNNNNNNNNNNNNNNNNNNNNNNNNNNNNNNNNNNNNNNNNNNNNNNNNNNNNNNNNNNNNNNNNNNNNNNNNNNNNNNNNNNNNNNNNNNNNNNNNNNNNNNNNNNNNNNNNNNNNNNNNNNNNNNNNNNNNNNNNNNNNNNNNNNNNNNNNNNNNNNNNNNNNNNNNNNNNNNNNNNNNNNNNNNNNNNNNNNNNNNNNNNNNNNNNNNNNNNNNNNNNNNNNNNNNNNNNNNNNNNNNNNNNNNNNNNNNNNNNNNNNNNNNNNNNNNNNNNNNNNNNNNNNNNNNNNNNNNNNNNNNNNNNNNNNNNNNNNNNNNNNNNNNNNNNNNNNNNNNNNNNNNNNNNNNNNNNNNNNNNNNNNNNNNNNNNNNNNNNNNNNNNNNNNNNNNNNNNNNNNNNNNNNNNNNNNNNNNNNNNNNNNNNNNNNNNNNNNNNNNNNNNNNNNNNNNNNNNNNNNNNNNNNNNNNNNNNNNNNNNNNNNNNNNNNNNNNNNNNNNNNNNNNNNNNNNNNNNNNNNNNNNNNNNNNNNNNNNNNNNNNNNNNNNNNNNNNNNNNNNNNNNNNNNNNNNNNNNNNNNNNNNNNNNNNNNNNNNNNNNNNNNNNNNNNNNNNNNNNNNNNNNNNNNNNNNNNNNNNNNNNNNNNNNNNNNNNNNNNNNNNNNNNNNNNNNNNNNNNNNNNNNNNNNNNNNNNNNNNNNNNNNNNNNNNNNNNNNNNNNNNNNNNNNNNNNNNNNNNNNNNNNNNNNNNNNNNNNNNNNNNNNNNNNNNNNNNNNNNNNNNNNNNNNNNNNNNNNNNNNNNNNNUCGAUUUCUCUUUACUGACACCUCUUUGAUUCUCUAGCAUCUGCUUGGAAAAACCAUUCAACAAGGGGAUUCUGCUAGGAAAACAUGCAAUUGUUCUUCUAUCUGAUAUCAGUUUCAAAAUUCUAAACAAAUAAUGCAACAAGUCACAUUUAUUACAAAAAAAGUCACGUUUAUUCCAGACCUCAAGCUGCAUUGCCUAUUUCAAAACCACAAAGAGAACAUCAUACAGAACAACAAAUACCCAAGUCGUAGAGCCAUUAAUUUGAGCAUAAAGGAGAAUGAAAGUCCACGCAUUAAACAGUAGGCACACACAUGAGUAGACAUUAUGCCCUUGUUUUUGAAGAUUCAGACACUUCAAAAGAAAACUCACGCUCUUAUUUUUGGGAAGUUCUUCUAUGGUAAAUAAGACUGUUACAAUGUGAAGCCAAUUUGUAUCCCAUUGCCAGUGAAACAGUAGGAAUUACUUCCACCAAUCUAAAACAUAUUCGCAGCACCACAGCUCAAGGACAUGAAUCUCUGUGAAAUCGCCUAAGGUCGAGUUGCUCAUGUAAUAGGCAACCAACCUGCCUAAUGCAAACAGAAGUACAAAGACCAUUCAUGCAUAUCCAUUACCUGAUUAGGAUGUUUUUCAAAUUCCAAUGCCAAACUAAUCAUCCUACCCAUCAUCAUCAUCACCACCAUCUCCCUUCACCACCUUCCUUCAUCUCCUUCACCACAUACCCACCCAUUAUUUCGGGUCCACGUUCUACAACUGCUGAUUGGCGCAGAGCAACCAGUGCUUGAAUCCUCAGCUACUUCAGAUACCUGUAAUCCAAUCCAAGCAUGGCAUACACAUUUUAACUUCUAAAUCUUAUUAUUGAGCGAAACAAUAAACAAACACACAAAAAGAGAAGCAAGAAAUCAAGACAAUUCAGCAGCACCUCUGAUUGAGCUCUUAUUGAACCAUUUGGUGCAGUAGCAAAUUUUGUGAUCAGCUUUGGGUAUUCUAACACCUUCAACUUCUCUAAAUGAGGGAAUAGGAAAUCAUAACAUCCGAGAUUAAAGCAUACAAUAUUUGAUAAUUGUUCUAGCAACAGCACCUGCAGAUUCGGGGAAGAAAAAAGGCAGAACCGAGGCUGAAAAAGGAGAAAAAAAGGGCAGAACCGAAGGGCCAAUGGGGAGCAUGAACGAAAACAGAGAGGGGACCUAAAAAGAGAGAAAUAGGGAGAGAGCAAAAGGACAGCAGGCCUGCUUUGCCUUUGUUCUCAAAACGCAAGUGAAGUGCAGGGAAACUGCAAGCGUUGGUCAGCCUAAUUAUUCGUCUCCAGCUACACACUCCAAACCAUCAAAAGAAAGAACUGAGAAAAACAGGAGAAAAGGAGGAACACGAAAAAAAACCAAGGGAACGGGCAGAUACAGAAAAAAAAAACUGGAGGGAAAAACCCAGGGGAAAGAAAAACAGAGGACUGCAGGAGGAAAAACUGGGGAAGAAAAGGGCAGAACCGCGGGAACAGAGAGAAGAGACUCAGGAAAAAAAGUAGAAGGAAAGGCAGAGGAGAGUCACAGAUCAGCUCUGCCAUUGUCUUCAUCCCUGCAAAAAAAUAAAAGAAUGACACUGAACCAAAGACUAUUGACAACCGGCAUCACCAUUGUUUACUUUCCUUCAUCUCAAAACUAGAGGAGACAGAACGCAAUCAAAGAAAGAAGCAGAGGAAAGUCACCGAGACCGUUGCUACUGCCUUCGGCGUUUCCAGAACUAGGAGAGAAAGCAAAAGAAAGCAGGAGGAAAGGUGUUAAGCAGACAACAGGCACCAUCACACUGCAGCCAUCUUCGCCGUUUCCAGAAGCAGGUACGGCCCUCAUCCCAUUUUGCAUCUUCAUUUCAAAUUGAAUUGUUACAAGAGCUGUGCGAAGGUAAUUUAAUUACCUUCGCACUGCUCAUGCACGCGUGAAGCCACUUCACGCGUGCUUUUCGUUUUGCCCAGGGCCAGUGACCGGGCCGGGCUGGCUGGGUCCAGUCCAUGCCAUGUGGGCUGAGCUGGGCCCAGCCCCAAAAAAAUAAAAGAAAAAAACAGAAAAAUAAAAAAAUAGAAAAAAUAGAAAAAAUAAAAAAAUAAAAAAUAUGCAUACAUGAAUAAAAAUAAUGUAAAUUUAUUGGUUUAUUUACUGACGCCAGAGUCAGUAAUAAAAAUAUCGGUUUAAAUUUAUAUUAUUUUUAUUUGUUGUAUUUUAUUUUAUUUAGCUAGAAAAAAAAUAUGUGCAUGCUGAAAAAUAAAUUUAUUUUUUCAUUGGCGCUAGAGUAGGGAAUAAUAAAAAAUUGAUAUAAUUUUUUUUAUAGCUACGUAAUAUUUAUCAACACCAGAUUUGGAGAUAUUCAUAGUUGAAUAUUCACUGACGCCAGAGUUAGGAAUAUUAUAAGCAAAUUAUCAUAGUGUAAACUAAUAAAUAUUUAGUAAUUUAAGACAAAACCAGCAAUGCAGUCUGCCUCAGGCAGAACGUUUAAGGGGUGAUAAUAUCUUUCCUUUUACGUAACCAGUCCCGUACUAUAGAAUCUCUGUUGAUCAGUUAGGGUUCCUAGUGACCAUAAUACUAGGUGGCGACUCCAUAAAUAAGAUAUUUUUUCCUAAAAGAACAAGAUGUCAGAAAUCUGUUUUUUUUCCACAAUCGAGUUUAUUUUGUGGACCGUCACGAUAUCGGGUACGAUAAAAGUAGUCAAAUUGCUUAGCACGAGACCCUUCCACAAACAUCUCAUGCUUGUGUCAGGCAGGGACUUCAAUUUUAAUGUUUUCAAACUUGUUAGCUCCUACAUCAGAAGACAACAAAGGCACUAAUUUGUUAGAUAUAAUUCCUAGUAUGUUUCGGUAAAUUGAUGAAUCAAUUACCCCCAAUACUUACGUAUCAACAAAAGGAUAUAUGUAGACAUGGCAGUAGACAACUCAAUAUUAGCAAGUGGAGGUUUAUCGUCCUGUCCAAAUACUUCCAUUAAUUGGGGGAAGAGCCUCAAUUUCACUCAAACUGGGAAAGCAUAAAUCUAGGUAUCAUUUCAUUACAAUAAUUAAUUUCUUACUUCUUUAGCCCUGCAUCAAGAGACAGGGAAUGACACAGUUAGACAACUCCUUUUAAAUUUAGUGGAUGGCUAAAGGAUUUAUCUCCACUCAUCAAUUACUUCAGUUUCAGAAAUUUAAAGGAAGAAAUCACAAUGUAUUGAAGUCGACAACCAGAAGCCCAAAAGAAAACAAUUUUGACGAAUACCCACCAAACAGUUGAAGUGCUGCUGUAACUGAGAUUUUUUAUUAUAUGUAUUUUUUGUGGUCCAAUGGAUAAAUAAUUUUUUUUUCUUUUAUUUUACCAGCUAAAUUUCGCAUGUGGAAUAUUGAGUUUUCUGUUGUUUUUUCAGACACAGAAUUGAAUCCUUUAUAUAUUCUGUUUACCUUCCAUAAUUUUUUCAUAAAAAUCUUAAAUAUUUUAUUUUUAUCAGCCAUCAUUAUAAUUUCAGAUUCUGAACUAAAUGAGUUGAUACCUUUUAACAAAUAAAUAUAAAACUUCAAACCUUCAAAUUUUCAAGACACCAUCUCUCAAUCUCAAACCAGAAACAACCCCUUCUCCAUUUAACCGAAUCUCAUAACUCUGGGAUAGGAGAGGGAUAGGACUUUUGUAAAUUGAUUUAAUAUAUUUUUGACUUUUGAUUUUAAUUUUUUUUUAAGUAUGUUAGUUAAAAUAGCUUUUGAUUUAAUUUUUUUUUGUUAUAAAUUGGAUUCAAAACUUUGUUUUAAUAAUAAUAAAAAAUCUUAACUUUAGUUUGUGGAUUGUAUACUAAAUUCCUUAAUAAAAAUAGUAAUUUUGAAUCUUUUUUACAAAUAAUGCUUAUAACUUAUGGUUAUUUUAAUUUAUUUUUUUCAUAAAAAAAACUUUUAAAUUAUAGUUCAAAGCUACCAGAUUAGGCAUGUAGCUUAUGAAGGGUUUGUAAGCAGCAAACAAUUAAAAUUAGAAAUCAGAGGAACAUUUAGAGGAUAGAAUAUUUAGAAUCUCUAGCAAUAGCCAGCAAUGUAUCUGCUCGAAAAAACCAUUCAACAUGAGAUUGUUCUGCUAGAAAAACAUGAGAUUGCUCUGCUAUUUGAUAUCAGUUUCAAACUUCUGAACAAAUAAUACAGCAUCAAGUCUCAGUCAUCACAUGCCCAUUCAAAAACAUUUAUUCCAGAUGUCAAGCUGCAUUGCCAGGCCCGUUUCCAAAACCACAUAAGCAUAUGCAAUAGAAACAGAGCAUCAAACUGACAGAGAAAGCAUGAGAAUGAGAGUCCACACAUUAAACAAGAGUAAACAUUAUGCCUUUAUUUUUGAAAGGUUCACACACUUCAAAACAAACACGAAUGGCCAAGCAAACAUACGCCCUUACUUCUGGAGGCUUGUACGAUAAUGGGCAAGCAACAUUAUUUUUUUGAGGUACGCACAGUAAUGACUAAACACACAACAUUACAUUACAUGGGUAAACAAGCAGAUAACCUUAUUCACACAUAUAUAGAUAAGUCGUUAUCUUCUUUUGAAAUCACACAUAGCAGAUAACCAAACGAGGGAAUAAGAAAUCACAGCAUCCGAAACUGAAGCAGACAAUACUUGAUAAUUGUUUUAGCGACAGCUUCUUUAGAUUAGGAAGCACCAUCUCCUUCUCAACGUUGACAGGUGAUACAUGAUCAUCCUGCCCAAACACUCCCAAUAAUUGAGAGGCUUUUGUUACUCUUAAGUAUUUGGAGCUAUGGGAGACCUGAAGCCAUGGUAACUGGGAAGAGGCUCUUCAACAUGUUACAUUCUCCAAUCUCAAUUUCACACAAAUUGGGAAAGCAUAAAGAUUGGAGAUGAUCUCCUAACAAUAUCUGGUCGUUUUCAUCAUCAUCCUUAGCAAUGAUUCGAUUGAAUUCCUCACAGGACAAUAUCUUUAGAACUUUCAGUUGAACUAGACUGACAAUCAUGCUGCAUGUGAAUACCAGUGUCAGUCUCUUACACUCAACCACCUCCAAAGUAGUCAAUUUGCUCAGCACGAGACCCUUCCAUAUACACCUCAUGUCAGGCAGGGAUUCCAAGCAUAAUUUUUCCAAAUUUGUCAGCCCCUGCAUCAAAAGAAAACAAGGAUACCAAUUUGUUAGAUAUAAUUCCUAAUAAAUUUUGUGCACUUUGGAACUAUAUAAUUUUGGUAAAUAGAUGAACGAAUUGUCCCCACUAGUUCAGCCAAAAACUUAUCAACAACAGGAUAUGAGUAGACAUGGCAAUAGGGCAUGAAAAGUUGCAGGACUGAAACAAACAUUGGAGAAAUAUAAAGGACGUACUUGGAGCUGCGCAAACAAAUUUCCCAAUUCUUUGUGGCCAUCAAUGUUUAGAAUUUGCAGAGAAGGCAAUUGAGCAGCAAAAUUCUUUGGACCAAAAAAGCUGCAAUUUGAAAGAGACAAUCCUCUUAGCUUAGGGAACUUGAUGAUUCCAUCUCUGGUGAGUGCAUCUCCUUCUCCAGUGUAAAAUAUAUGCUUUACAUUGUCAGCAAAAUCAAUCUCCAUCUCUUCCAGGUUCAGAAGACUUGGAGACACAGAGACAGGGAAGACAUAUUUCAGUUUACCACAGUAACUUAUAGAGAGACUUCUUAAUUUUGGGAAGCAAAGUGACCCUGUAGUUAUUUCCCUUGCAUCAUCCUUUUCUCUGAUAAGAUGCUUCAAUUCACCGCAACUACCUAUGUUAAGGCUUUCUAGCUUUGGCAGACUUUGAGCGAGGGACAGUGUGAAGAUAAAUAUCAGUUUGUUGAGAGAAAUCAAAUUCAGAUCAGCAAGAUUUUGGAGGCUGACAUGAUUGGCGGGCCCCUUCCAUAUACAUUUGAGCUCAGGUAACUUGAUCAGCUGUAACUCUGUUAAAGAUGACAACUCCUCCUCACUGCUUCCUUCAUCAACGUCACCCAAUUCAAAUACCUCUUCCAAUGAUUUGCAGUCGCAAAUGUUCACACUCCUUAGAAUACUUGUCUCAUAUUUGUCUCAUAGGUGAGUUAGUUAAUGUACGUUGAUUGAGCAGAAGGUAGUGGGUUCAAGCUAUACUAGGAAUAAUAUUAUGUUUUUUCAAAUUACUAGCAAAGGCGUGUGGGCUUGUUUAAGGCUCACAUGCACGUGCCUGAGUUUUGUUGUCAUAGGACGAGUCAUUAGUUCAGUUUUUUUUUUUAUUAGUCAUUUUAGUUUUUAUUUUUAAUUUUUUUAAUAUAUUUUUUGAAUUUUAUUCUUUAGUAUUGAGUUUUUUUAUUAAAUUAUAUUUUUUAAUAUUGAGUUAAUGAUAAAUUAGUUUUUAUAUUUUUUAUCAUGUAAUAAAAUAAAAAAAAUUAAUUUAACUCAAUAUAAUUUAUAAUCCGAGUGGGUUGACUAGAGUUAACUUGAACUAUUUUAUUUUUUUUAUUUUUAGACAAGUAAAAGGAAAAUUAAAAAAACAAAGUAAUCUCAUCUUUUAGUACGGUGGUCCAAGAUGCACCAUGAUAUGGUUGUAGUUUAUUUGCCUUUUCCUUUUAAAAAUGUUGUCUCCUUUGUAAGGAAUCCUUGGUUCCCAACAGCAAUUGUAGCAGAGUUGAAGGUUGCGUAAAACAAUUCUCUAAACUCCACCAAAAGUAGUGGAGCGUUAGAAUUUUUAAAAGACAAAACGGGGACAAGUGGGAGACGAAGAAAAAGACAAAAGUAAUUUAAUCUUGAUGUGGUGAUCCAAGAUACACCAUGAUAUGGUGUUCUUCCAAGAAGUCUAAGAUACACCGUCGUAUUGUUUCAUAUAUAUGACAAUAAUAAAAAAAACCGUUUAAAACAACUCUGAAAACAAAAAUUUUUAUAAUUUAUAAUUUAUAAAACAUGCGAUAAAAUAAGUCAUAGUGAAUGUUUUCAUUUGGCAUUUAAUUCCAUGAACAUGACCUUAUUCUUUGAUCAAAUUACUGCGAUACUCGAAACUAAAUUGAAUGUUACUGACUAGCUAUUGUUUCUCAUUGGCAAGAAUCAUUGCCAAUUAUCAUAACAUGUUAGUGAUUUAUUAGAACUAGUUCUAGUAUCUCCUACCUCACUCAUCAAAUAUCAUUAUUUUGUUCAUAGCCAUAUGAGAGUUAUUAUCCAACCAUUUUCAAAUCCAUUCAAAAACCUUGGUAAAUCAAUUUAUAAAACAUUCUUACUUACAAAAACUUGUAGGUCUAGUGUUACCAAUCCUUGUCUUGGGCUUAUACAUGUUCCAUUGUUCCAUAAAUAUAUUUGCUAAGUUAUCAACAUAAUUUGUUUGGGGCAAAUCCUCAUCUAGUUAUAACAGACUCACACCUGACUGCUUAAAAUCACUAGUUAUUGUAGGAUUGACUACAUCAAAAUUGAUUGGUUUUUUGUUUUCAAAGAGAUUUAAACUUUUGAUGCAGACGAAAGCUAAAAACACAACAAUAAUCAAAGAAAACAAAAAAAAAAUAUAAGCAAAAAGGACUAUAGAUCUAAACACUCAAAUUCACAAGUUCAUUUUCUCUAAAAUAAUAAUAAUGAAGUUUGUUUUCUUAGAAGGUUUACAAAUCCUUAAAUAUGUCAGGAACCUUACCUCCACUAGGAAACAAAAACAAAAACACAAAAUUACAAAGAAAAGAAGCAUAAAAUCCAAAACAAGCAAGAAAUAAAAAAAAAUAACAAGGAAAAUCACAGAAACUAUCAAAACUAUAGGCCUAAACAAGAUUUUUGAUAUCUAAAGAUUCGAUAGUCCACGUAAAAAUUUGAGCAUUAUCCAAUAGUCGAAUAAGAAAUUGUAACUCUUUUGAGCUGUUAUUCUAGUCUGACGCAACCAAACCUCCUCUUGAUCUUAAAUCUGUCUCAUUGAUCUAUAAAUACAUUUUCAUGACAUAUCUUUUUCUUCUUUUUUUUACACUAUAAAUGGAGUUUGACCUGUUAAAUAAUAUUUAUGUAGUCUUAUUUAUUAAGGGUAGAAUAGUACUUUCAGUUUGACCUAUAUAUACUUUAUUUGUAUUUAGGUUAAGACUAUGCAUUCAUAAUAUACAGAUUAUUCAGAAUUGUAGCCUCCUUUCUCUAUUUGAUCUCAAUUAAUUUAACAUGGUAUCAGAGCUGGUUUUAUGAAACGAGGCUUAAUCUCAAGCACAAGUUCGCGGAUCCAACCAUGCGGUGAGUUGGCUGGGGGUUUGCAGGGGCAGCGCGCCCCUGCCGGGGUUCGGGGCAGAGCCCUGAAAAUUUUUUGGAGUGAGAUUUUGUCUUCCGCUUCUGCAAAAUUUGGUAUUUCGUCAGUUUCUGCAAUUAUUUUGGUAUUUCGUCUACCCUUCAGCUUUUGCAAUUUGGUAUUUGUGUUUAGUUUCUGCAAAUUGGUUUUGUGUUUUGGAGUAAUCGUAUAAUUUUGAGAAGAUAUUUGUUUAGUUUCUGCAAUCUCUGUUCAGUUUCUGCAAUUUGGUAUUUUGUUUUCCGCUGCUUUUGCAUUCUGGUUCUCUGUGAUUGUUAAUUAUGGCUACUGAAAGAGAUGAUUCGCUUCAGUCUGUGAAUGUAAGGUUGGAUGGGAAGAACUAUUCAUAUUGGAGCUAUGUAAUGCGAAAUUUUCUUAAGGGUAAGAAGAUGUGGGGUUAUGUUAGUGGAACUUAUAUAAUACCUAAGAAUGUUGAGGAGGGGGAUGCUGUUUUGAUAGAUACAUGGGAAGCAAAUAAUGCAAAGAUCAUUACUUGGAUCAACAAUUCUGUUGAGCAUUCGAUAGGUACGCAGUUGGCGAAGUAUGAGACAGCAAAAGAGGUUUGGGAUCAUCUGCAAAGGUUAUUCACGCAAUCAAAUUUUGCAAAACAAUAUCAAUUAGAGAAUGACAUACGAGCUCUUCAUCAGAAGAAUAUGAGUAUUCAAGAGUUUUAUUCUGCUAUGACAGAUCUUUGGGAUCAAUUGGCUCUUACAGAAUCAGUAGAAUUAAAGGCAUGUGGUGCCUAUAUUGAGCGUAGAGAGCAGCAACGAUUGGUACAGUUUUUAACAGCACUUCGCAGUGACUUCGAAGGACUUAGAGGUUCAAUUCUGCAUCGUACUCCACUGCCUUCUGUUGACUCUGUUGUCAGUGAGUUAUUAGCUGAAGAAAUACGUCUUCAGUCUUAUUCUGAAAAGGGAAUUCUUUCUGCUUUAAAUCCUUCUGUACUAGCAGUACCUUCUAAGCCAUUCUCUAAUCAUCAGAACAAGCCCUACACAAGGGUUGGCUUUGAUGAGUGCAGUUUCUGUAAGCAGAAAGGUCAUUGGAAGGCUCAGUGUCCUAAGUUGAGACAACAGAAUCAAGCUUGGAAGUCUGGCAGUCAAUCACAAUCCAAUGCUCAUCGACCACCUCAGGGUUAUAAACCACCACACCACAAUACUGCAGCAGUAGCUUCCCCAGGCUCUAUUACCGAUCCUAAUUCUUUGGCUGAGCAAUUUCAGAAGUUUCUCUCCUUGCAGCCACAAGCAAUGUCCGCUUCUUCUAUAGGUCAGUUGUCUCAUAGUUCCUCAGGUAUGUCACACUCUAAAUGGGUCUUGGAUUCUGGUGCUUCCCAUCAUAUGUCUCCAGAUUCCUCAUCUUUUACCUCAGUGUCCCCUUUGUUCUCCAUUCCUGUUAUGACUGCUGAUGGCACUCCUAUGCCCUUAGCAGGUGUUGGUUCUGUUGUCACACCUCACUUGUCUCUCCCUAAUGUUUAUCUUAUUCCAAAACUCAAAUUGAAUCUUGCGUCUGUUGGUCAAAUAUGUGAUUCUGGUGAUUAUUUAGUCAUGUUUUCUGGUUCUUUUUGUUGUUUACAGGAUCUGCAGUCUCAGAAGCUGAUUGGGACAGGCCGUAGGGAGAAUGAACUAUAUAUUUUGGAUGAGUUAAAAGUGCCAGUUGCUGCUGCUGCCGCUGCUACUACUACUGCUGAUUUGUCUUCCUUUCGUUUGAGUCUUUCAUCUUCUAGUUUUUAUUUAUGGCAUUCCCGUCUAGGUCAUGUUUCAUCAUCUCGUUUGAGAUUUUUGGCAUCCACAGGAGCUUUAGAAAAUUUGAAAACUUGUGACAUUUCUGAUUGUAGUGGAUGUAAACUGGCAAAAUUUUCUGCUUUACCUUUUAAUCGAAGUAUUUCUGUCUCAUCUUCACCAUUUGAUUUGAUUCAUUCUGAUGUAUGGGGACCUUCUCCUGUUUCCACAAAAGGAGGGUCUCGAUAUUAUGUCUCUUUUAUUGAUGAUCAUACUCGUUAUUGUUGGGUUUAUUUAAUGAAACAUCGUUCUGAAUUCUUUGAGAUAUAUGCAGCUUUUCGAGCUCUUAUGAAAACUCAACAUUCUGCUGUGAUCAAAUGCUUUAGGUGUGAUUUGGGUGGGGAAUACACCUCUAAUAAAUUUUGUCAAAUGCUUGCCUUAGAUGGAACCAUCCACCAAACUUCAUGUACAGAUACUCCUGAACAAAAUGGUGUAGCUGAAAGAAAACAUAGGCACAUUGUCGAAACUGCUUGUUCUCUCUUGUUGUCUGCUUUUGUUCCUAGUGAGUUUUGGGGAGAAGCUGUUCUUACUGCUGUAAGUUUGAUUAAUACAAUUCCAUCUUCUCAUAGUUCGGGUCUAUCUCCUUUUGAAAAGUUAUAUGGGUAUGUCCCUGAUUAUUCCUCAUUUAGAGUCUUUGGUUGUACUUGUUUCGUUCUUCGUCCUCAUGUAGAACGCAAUAAGUUAUCCCCUCGAUCCGCUAUUUGUGUCUUUCUGGGUUAUGGUGAAGGUAAAAAGGGGUAUCGUUGUUUUGAUCCAAUAACUCAGAAACUUUAUGUGUCUCGUCAUGUUGUCUUCCUUGAGCAUAUACCUUUCUUUUCUAUUCCAUCCACUACUCAUAGCCUGACAAAAUCUGAUCUUAUUCAUAUAGAUCCUUUUUCUGAGGAUUCUGGUAAUGAUACCUCUCCCUAUGUUCGAUCAAUUUGUACUCAUAACUCUGCAGGUACUGGUACUUUACUCUCUGGCACACCUGAAGCUCCAUUCUCAUCUACAGCCCCUCAAGCUUCAUUUGAGAUUGUGGAUCCACCUCCACGUCAGUCCAUCCGCAUUCGUAAGUCCACAAAACUACCAGAUUUCGCUUAUUCUUGUUAUUCUUCAUCAUUUACUUCCUUUUUAGCUUCUAUUCAUUGUCUCUUUGAGCCCUCUUCCUAUAAAGAGGCAAUUCUUGAUCCGCUUUGGCAGCAAGCUAUGGAUGAGGAACUUUCUGCUUUGCAUAAGACAGAUACUUGGGAUCUGGUUCCUCUACCUCCUGGUAAGAGUGUUGUUGGUUGUCGUUGGGUGUAUAAGAUCAAGACUAAUUCUGAUGGGUCUAUUGAGCGAUACAAAGCUAGGCUGGUUGCAAAAGGAUACUCUCAACAGUAUGACAUGGACUAUGAGGAGACAUUUGCCCCGGUUGCAAAAAUGACUACUAUUCGUACUCUUAUUGCCGUAGCUUCGAUUCGUCAGUGGCAUAUUUCUCAGCUUGAUGUUAAAAAUGCAUUCUUGAAUGGAGAUCUUCAAGAAGAAGUUUAUAUGGCACCCCCUCCUGGUAUUUCACAUGACUCUAGAUAUGUUUGUAAGCUUAAGAAAGCAUUAUAUGGUCUCAAACAAGCACCUCGUGCUUGGUUUGAGAAAUUCUCUAUUGUGAUCUCGUCUCUUGGCUUUGUUUCUAGCAGUCAUGAUUCUGCUCUUUUUAUUAAGUGCAAUGAUGCAGGUCGUAUCAUUCUGUCUUUAUAUGUUGAUGACAUGAUUAUUACUGGUGAUGAUAUUGAUGGUAUUUCAGUUUUGAAGACAGAGUUGGCUAGACGAUUUGAAAUGAAGGAUUUGGGUUAUCUUCGAUAUUUCCUGGGUAUUGAGGUAGCAUACUCACCUAGAGGUUACCUUCUUUCUCAGUCGAAAUAUGUUGCAGAUAUUCUUGAGCGGGCUAGACUUACUGAUAACAAGACUGUAGAUACUCCUAUUGAGGUUAACGCAAGGUACUCUUCUUCUGAUGGUUUACCUUUGAUAGAUCCUACUUUAUACCGCACUAUUGUUGGGAGUUUGGUAUAUCUCACCAUCACUCGUCCAGAUAUUGCAUAUGCUGUUCAUGUUGUUAGUCAGUUUGUUGCUUCUCCUACUACUGUUCACUGGGCAGCUGUUCUUCGUAUUUUGCGAUAUCUUCGGGGUACAGUUUUUCAGAGUCUUUUACUUUCAUCCACCUCUUCUUUGGAGUUGCGUGCAUACUCUGAUGCUGAUCAUGGUAGUGAUCCCACAGAUCGCAAGUCUGUUACCGGGUUCUGUAUCUUUUUAGGUGAUUCUCUUAUUUCUUGGAAGAGCAAGAAACAAUCUAUUGUUUCUCAAUCAUCCACCGAAGCAGAAUAUCGUGCCAUGGCAUCUACUACCAAAGAGAUUGUUUGGUUACGUUGGUUACUUGCUGAUAUGGGAAUUUCCUUUUCUCAUCCUACUCCUAUGUAUUGUGACAACCAGAGUUCUAUUCAGAUUGCUCAUAACUCGGUUUUUCAUGAGCGCACUAAACACAUUGAGAUCGAUUGUCAUCUUACUCGUCAUCAUCUCAAACAUGGCACCAUUGCUUUGCCUUUUGUUCCUUCUUCCUUGCAGAUUGCAGAUUUCUUUACCAAGGCGCAUUCCAUCUCUCGUUUUCGUUUUCUGGUUGGCAAACUCUCGAUGCUUGUAGCUGCCACAUCGUGAGUUUGAGGGGAGAUGUUAAAUAAUAUUUAUGUAGUCUUAUUUAUUAAGGGUAGAAUAGUACUUUCAGUUUGACCUAUAUAUACUUUAUUUGUAUUUAGGUUAAGACUAUGCAUCCAUAAUAUACAGAUUAUUCAGAAUUGUAGCCUCCUUUCUCUAUUUGAUCUCAAUUAAUUUAACAUGACCAUCAUUGUCAUAUAGUUUGACUUAGUUGUAUCGUUUUUAAUCAGAUCAACUUUAUAUAUUAUGAGUUUACAUCUACUAAUUUUUAAAAAAUGCUCACAAGUCCAUUGUUCACGCCUCAAAUUCGUAACUGCAGCGAUUCGUAAGCAACGAAAACCAGUUAGAGACUAGAGAGUAAACAUGCUACUAAAGUUAGCAAGUAAGGGUUUAGAUUAGAUUAUUUGUUGUCUUGUUUCAAAUAUUAGAGCAGUCUCAACUCAUUAAAUAAACAAGUGGUGCAUUGAUCCUUGCAUUAAUAAACCAGAAUCUGCUCUCAUCUUUGAAGGAAUGCAAACAAUUGUUAAUAUGAAACUUAUGAUGUACAAAUUCUAAUCUUUGUAAGAAGUUGUUUUGCUGCCCACCGGCGGCCAUAUGAUCAGAGAACAAUAUUAUAUUUUUUAAACUCUUCACUCUCAUAAAAACAAUUUAUAUAAUUAUAAAUAGGAAAAAAAUACAAAAAAAUAAGAUUAAAUAUUUUUUAGAAAUUACAUAUUACUGUUUUAGUUUUUUUUCUUAAUUAGAGGUAAGUUCAAUAAAAGUAGUAAUAAUUAUAUUUUUGUGAAAAAAGGUUACUACAACUCCUAAUAAUUAGUUUCGUGUAAAAAAUAAAAAUAAAAAUAGUAAUACGUUAACAAAAUUUUAAAGAUAUUUUAAUUCAAUUAAGUAUUUCAACACAAAAUUUAUGUUCUUAUACAGUUAUAUAUUAAUUCUAACAAAAUAAAUAUGAUUUCUAUGUUUAAAUUUUGGUAUUAAUAACGCAUACAACAAUGAGGCAGUUAAGUUUCUUAGAUAAAAUAAAAUCAUUUUAAAAAUAAAAAUAAGCUAGUAUGUUUGUUACAUAAUUAAGAAAAUUUAAUUUUUUCUUCAAAUUAAUUUUUUUAAAUCGUUUUAAUAUGGUGGUAUCGAAACUAAAUUUUAAAAAAAAUAUUAUGAAAAGCAAUUGUUAAUAUUUGUUAAAACAUUAUUGUUAAUAUUUCUAGUCGGUUGCUAUAUAUAUAAUGGCAUGUAAUUGGAAUAAUAUAUGUUAACUUGUACACAACUUAAUAAAUUAAUGAGAAAACUAAAGUAGCCGGUCAUGUGGGCGCAAUGACAAUCCGCUUCUUCUCUCAACCUCAAACAAUAAGCACUAUUAUUGUGUCUUUAAGUGAAUUACAAUAAAGUAUAAAAAUAUAUCUGGAUAAUUGAAAAUUUGCUUAGAGUUGCUAAUAAUUCACAACUGCAACAACCAACACGACCAGGUAAUGCCCGGGAAUGGGUCUUUGGUGCACAAUCAUGACUGUAACCAUGAUUUAAAAUCAUUUCCACACCAGACUGGUGCACAAUCAUGACUGUUAGCAAUAAUUCAGUUUAUAAUAAUAAUAGUAAUAAUAAUAAUGUUGAUUCUUUUAUCUCCCACUUAAUGCACGUGUCCAUCGUGUGCUGAAAUUGAUUGUUUACCUCAUAUUUCUUUUAAAGGUAAGGGAUUUCUUGGUUGACAAUGGGAAAAAGUAAUCGCAUGGUUAUUUUCCAUAACAUUCCUUUGAGUAAAUAUUCUCUAUUGGAGGUCAAUUUCAUCGAAGCAAUUACUUCAAUGAACACUUCCUAAUUACCAACCUCUAAGUAGUCAUCUCCCUUAUCCUAACUUUUUACUUCCUAACUAAAUUUCACGGUUUUUCAUAAUGUUCAAAGGAAAAGUUGACCUUGCAAAUGGUGCUCUAAGGAACCAAGUCAUCCUAGAACUAAUCAUCCACCUAAUCUCAUCAACUCCUUGUUGCACAAACAGCUUGUGUCACUUAAAGGGGAUUUUAAUUAUGAACAAACACCAACUCCUUGUUGCUCAUUUAAACACAGUUUUGCAUUACCUAGAACUGACAAGGCCUAAAAUCCCAGAUAUAGAAUUUGUUUCAAAGGAACUUCAGGACUUCUAUAUAGGAUGCUUGACCUCAUUAAAGACAAACUGAGGACAUCCAUAACAUAAAUUAUCUUCCUUGCGCCAAAGUCAGCACAGAAAAACCUUGUUCACUAUAGAGGUUCUGAAUGUUUUUCCUAAAUCUCAUGAUAUGGCAUUCAACACAUCAAACUUCCAACUUAGCAUUCUUAUGCAAACUACAACUGCAGAAGGCUUGUACAUGUAGGGGAGAGGUAGGAAGAGCUGCAAAGUUGUCGCAUCUAUUGUUAUGCUGUUCAGAGUUUCUAUCUCAUAAUCCAAUCUGCCAAAAUUAUAAAAGAUCAUGUGCAUGAAUUUGAUCUCAAAGGGGUAACACCUCAUCUGCCUAUGGGAGAUACAUGAUCAGUGAUGGUUGUUCUAUCUACAAAAUUAGCUAACAUAUGACUAUUUUAUUCAACUACCAUUUCACGAUAUGAGUUCUCCUAGCCACACUCAAAAGCCCUAGCCGCUAUAUGAACAAAGCACCUAAAAAAUUAAUCACCUACCUAAUCUAAUUCAGGAAAAUUUGGUCAAAAUCUCCUACAAUGAAACGAGUUAUUUGAAUGCAUAGACAGGAAAUUCAGGUGAACACACACACACACACACACACACACACCUGAUCAUAAAUUUCCUAAAGAAAUUCUGAAUUGUAACAUUGGUAAACAAAGAGUGACAAUAUCAUCACAUUAAAAAUACAUUUCACUCAAAACAAAUAAUAGCUCAAGAAAAACAAUUGCAAGAAGCCAAUUGAGAAUAAAGUAAGCAGUCCUUAAACAAGAGACAGAGAGACAUUGUUCCAAUAGAGAAAAGUAAUUAAAACCCAACAACUAAAACUGAGAAAGAAUCAAACCAGUGAGUAACUAAUCCUUUUAAAACAUUCCAAGAAUGACAACCAAAUGUAACAUAAUCAACCCGCAAAAACAAACACAAAAAGAAUUAGAAGAAGAAACCCCAUUAGUUAAUAAGUUAAAACAACAGCAGCAGCAGCAGCAAAAAGACUCAAAUUUUAGUUAUUUGGACUUGAGAAAAAGCACCGAACCCUCUGUGAAAAUUUGACUCAAAUUUUAGUUAUUUGGACUCAAAUUUUUUUAUGCCAUACGAUGGAUAAAAAACGCUAAGCAAUGAACCAUUUUGUCCACCUAGUAAAAAAGAUAUUAUGGUUAUGAUGAGAACUCUACAGCCUUUGAUUCUAUUUUUAAAGGUAUUCUUAUUAUAUUUAUAAUUAUAAGAAUCUUUAAAAAAGAUAUAUGGGUAAAAUAUUAUUCUCACAUCACUAUUCACUGGUGUUAUAAGCUUAAAUUGAUAGAUAAUUAAGUAAAUUUGUUGAGGAAAAGUAAAAUUUAAAUAUAGAUAACCAAAGUGAAAAAAAAGGCGUAAAAAAAGGUGGUAAUUUCAAGAUUGAAGUAAAAAAUUCAUUUUGAUUCUCAUACUUUUCAGAUAAUGACUUUUUGAUCCCUUAAGUUUUCCUACAUUUUAUUUUUUAUCCACAACUUCUUUUUUCUAUUUUCUCAUUCCUUAAUUUGACAGAGGAGCCAAAAAAGUCAUUGGAUUACAAUGUUAGAGAGAGUCUAUGUAACAGCCUCAUCAUUUGUAUUCAAAACAAAGAGCAAGGACAUUAUGAUUCAAAUAAGAUUAAGGAAUUUUUUUUUUGUAAUCAAUAAAAAAUUCAGCAGAGUUUUUUUAUAUUUUUAGAUACCAAGUUAUCGACUUUUCAUCCACAAUCCUCAAUUAUCAAAUUCCUUACUCAUCCUAUCAUCCAGAACUUCCUCCUCUCAUUACAUCACAACUUCUCAAUAAUCAAAUUCACACAUGUCUAAACAAUUCAAUAUCCCACAUUUACAUGGAUGCAAUCCAAAGAAUUAUUCUACAAAUUAUAACUGAAGUACAUUACACAAUUCAAAGAUUUACAAAUAAGGACUAUUAACGAAAUUAUAAUCGAAAUAAGUAUAUAAUUAAAGAAGAAAUUCAUAAUUAAGAUUAUACUACACAAAAGAGUUUUCGAUAAACUGUUGACGCAUUAUAUUACAUAACAAAAUAAUAAAUUCAUUCAUUACAAAAAGAUACCCAACAAAAUAUAAGAAAACUAAUCUAUUGUUCAGCCGAUAGGGGUAUGUACCUGAAAAUUGAUUUAAUACAAUAAUUCAAUUAGACAGAUGAAAAAAAGAUAUCCAUAAAAUUCUUUCUACUUUCUUUCUUUCUUCCUUUUUUUUUGAAAAUUUAGUCAAAAGAUCAUUAAAUUAACUUGCUCAUCUAGUAUUAUAUAUAUCAAUUAAAUUUCAGAAUAAUCUAUGAGUUUGUUUUCUUUUUCUUUUUUCUUUUUUAAUAUCAACCAAAAAUAUAAUUAUUCCAAUCGCUCAAUUAACCCGGCAUUACUUUCACUAAUAAAUAAUUAAUUUUCCACUAGUCCAUUUAACAAGCACUAUUGUCAUCAAUCCAAAAAUUAGUUUAACGUUUCAUCCAUUCAUCAGGUACAAAUCCCAUUAACCAGGGAAAUUAAUUCUUCAUCUCGCUCAUUUGCCAGGGCACUAAUUCCAUUAAAUCAGGAAUUAGUUCAACAAUUUACCCAUUCAUCAGGGUACUAAUUCCAUUAACUAGAGACUUAAUUCCUCAUCAAGUUCAUUCAUCAGGACAUUAAUCUCAUUAAUUCAGGAAUUAGUUCAACGAUUUGCCCAUUCACCAGGGUUCUAAUCCCAUUAACUAGGGAAUUAAUUCCUUAUCACGCCCAUUCACCAGGACAUUAAUCCCAUUAGUUCAAGAAUUAAUUCAUCACAACGCAUAUCUUAUUUUCUAAAGUAAACAAUAUAAUAAUUUCAUAUUUAUCAACCACAAUUAAUCAAAUAAAAAUACAUAUUGACCAAUAAUAAAUUCGGGUACCGUCUAAUUACCUGAUGACUAAGUUCGAGCUGAAAUUUCCUGCUGUGGUGUCGGCCUGGCAGCCUCUCUUGAAUUGACAAGUAUAUCACAUCAUUAUUUUACCUUCCAUAUUGAAACACUCAAUAAAUAAAAUCAUUCCAAUUAUCCUUUUAUUUGCCAAAAUAAAAUCAUUUUGUGAAUUUCCUUCCUAUUCUUCCAAUUUACACAUUGUAACACAAUUCAUUUCAUCAUUCAAAUCAAUAUAUAUAUUCUUUAAAUUUAUUUAUUUAAUUUUUACCGUAAUUUAAAUCAAAGAAAAAUAUAAAAAAAUUUCAUGAUCUAGUCACUCUUUAACAUUAAUAUCAUCUCUUUCUUACACAAUCUCAUCAUCUUAUCAAAACUCUUAAAUUUUUAUUUUUCUUAUUAUUUUUUUUCCAAAAAUCCCUUCUUCAAGAACACCUAAAAUUUUGCUUUAAUUACCAUAAUUUCUUACUUUCUCUACUCACUUCAAUAAUCUUACACAAUUUCACAAUCAAUUGUAAUUUUCUCUAAAAUUUAUCAUGAACCUUAAUUCCUCAUUUCACAAAGUUCAAUCAAUUUAAAGUAUAAAUUCUUCAAGAAUCUUAUUUAAAAGUGUGAGGACAUCUUACCAAGCAAUAACCAAAGCUUUAACACUUUUAAAUUGAUAAAUUUUCCUUACUUGAAUUUUUUUUUCCUCUCUUGGCCGAAUGCUUCCUUCUCUUUGAAAAGGAAGUUUGUUUUUAUUUUUUGUUUCCUUAUAGUACACACUCACUUGCACUCAUAUAUAUAUAUAUAAUUAACUUAUUUUUUAAAUACCUUCCACGUCCCUCAAUUUUUUCUUCACCCAUACACAUAGAUAAUUACUUAACUUUUUAAAAAUGCCUUCUAUAUUUUUCAAUAGUAAAUUUUAUGAUUUUUGGGUAAAAUUUCAUGAAUCAUGACGCCUGUUUAUAUCAAAUUUUAUCUAGGUUAUUUCAAAUUUCACUCAGUUACUCGUUAGUACUUUCAGUUUCAUGAAAUUCAUUUCCAUAAAAAUUUUAUUCACAUUUUCAUGUUUAUUUAUUUAUAUUUAUUUUUUAUAUAUAUUUUAACACCCGAACAAAACAUUUCAAUUUAGAUUCUCGAAUAUAUCAUCAUUCUUAUAAUUUAAUUUAUCACUUUCCCUUAUUUUUUGUAAUCUUGACUUUUAUUAAUAUCAAUAAUAUUACCCGGGGUUUUACAGUCUCAGUUGGCACUGAUUUUCGCCAUAAAAAUGAUCGAUUUUUAUUUUAAUGAGUUUCAUUUGAUGAAGAGAGUUCCAUUAAAAUGUUUUUUGCUUUUGAAAUUGCCAAAACAUAUAUGGUCAUAGGUGUGUGAUAUUGGUUUAUUACAUCAUAAAGACCAUUUUUAGGUGUAUUGGUGUGAACUUUCUUUAAAUUUGCAUUUUUUGGUCAAAAACCACCCUGCUUAAUUUUCUAGUCACCUCUCCAAUGAUCAAGAAUGGGAAAGUCUCGGUAGGUGACACGUCGCUUUUCUUUAUUUUUGUUUUUCAAAAACAUUUGGAGCAUUUUCAAAUAAAAAAGGCCCAUACGUACCAACCCUUUUUAAAAUGGACUUGAUGUGUAGGCCCAACUUACUAGGCCCAAAAGCACUUGAUCUAUUUCUAUUUUUUUUCUAAUUUUGUUUUCUUAAAUGAUAUUUUUUUAUGUAUUUUUAAUGAAUUUUUGAAUUUAUAUUUAAAUUAAUACUUUUCUCUCUAAAUAUUUAGAUUGUUUAUUUAGUUUUUUCUAAAUAGUGGAUAUCUUUUACUUAUCUUUUAUGUAUUUAAUAUCUAGAAAAAAUUAUUCCAAUUCAUCUAUAUGUUUUUUUUAUAUUUUAUAUGAAUAAACUUUAUUUUCAUGAUGUUUUUAUAAAAAUAAGAAUUAUUUGUUCUUGGUAAGAAAAAGUGACCUUUAAGAUAAAAAAGAAGAAGAAGGAGAAAAGUGUGCAUGAAGAUGAAAGUUAAGGUUAAGUAUCAUAUUUGUGUAUCUUUUACUUUUAUGAAAAUGAUUAUCAUUUUAUUUUAUAAUUUGAUUGGCAUUAACAACUCUUUAUUAGUUUAUUAGUUCAUAUUUUUGUAAGAUUUGUUUUUUACAUUUCUCAAUUAAGAGAAUCGUAAUACAAUGAAAUGCACUUGAAACAAUGUCCCAUUUUUCAACUACAUUAAAAAUUAACUUAAGAUCCUAUAUGUGGCACGAUGCGUUAACAACUAUUUUUUAUAUUUAUGAACACUUAUGGUCCUUAUUUUAUUUUUAUUAUAUGUAAACAUCAACUUUUUUAUUUACAAUUAUAAUUUUCUCUUGAUUUUUAAAUAUAUGUUAACAACAUUUAUAUUUUUUUUCUUUUGCGUUCAAAAAAUUAUCUAACUCGUAGCAAAGUGAAUUAAAUAAACGCAUCAACACUUUUUUUUUUUGUAUUUAUGACUAAGAUUUGUUUUUGUUAAAAAUGCAAUUAAAAAGCAUACAAAUUUAUUUUUUUGCUAAAAACAAUUUUGUGAUCCAUAGUGAAGUGCAAGUUAAAUAACUAUUAAUAUGGCUAUAGUAAGUCUUUUAGUAUAUGUGGAUGUAGGAAGCAAUGUGUUAUAUUAUUAGUUAGAUAUAACUUACCUAUUCAUUAUUAAAAAAAACAUAAAAUAAAUAAAUAUAUUAAUAAAAACCUAAAAGAGGUGGCUGAAAUAUAAUAUUUUUGUCCUUUUUUUUAUUUUUUUUUCACAUUUCUCAAUUAAGAGAAUCAUGAUACAAUAAAAUGCAUUUGAAACACCUUCCUAUUUUUCUUCUACAUUAAAAAUUAACUUCCUACAUGUGGUGCGCUGCGUUAACAAUUGUUUUUGUAUUUAUUAACAUAUAUGAUCCCCAAUUUAUUUUAUUAUUUGUAAACAUCAACUUUUUUUAUUCACAAUUAUAUUUUUUUCUCUCGAUAUCAAAAAAUACAUUAACAACACUUAUACAUCCAUUCUUUUGUGUUGGAAAAUGUUAUCUGACCCAUAGCGAAGUGAGUUAAAUAAACACGUCAAUACCUUUUUUUGUAUUUAUGAUUAGGGUUUUUUUGUGUGUUAAAAAUACAUUUAAAAAGCAUUCAUAUUUAUUUAUUUUGCUAAAAAACAUUUUUGAUCCAUAGUAAAGUGCGAGUCAAAUAACUACUAAUAUGGCUAUAGUGAGUAUCUUUUUAGUAUGUGUGGAUGUAGGUAGCAAUGUGUUAUAUUAUUAGUUAGAUAUAACUUACCUAUUCAUUAUAAAAAUAAAUAAAUAAAUAAAUAAAUAUAUUAAUAGAAACCUAAAAGAAAUCGGCUGAAAUAAUAUAGUCCCCGAGAGGAAAUAUUAUGAAUUCACACAAUGUUUACUUUCUCUUUUUUUGUCUUUUUUUAUUCAGUGAUCUUUGAUGAUGAAUUGAUUAAGAUUUGAGAUGGGUAAUGUAUUUUUAUUUGCCUUUUUUAUAGUUAUCUUGCUCUCAAUAAAACAUCUUGAUAUUAGAACAAUGCUCAAUUUCACAAAAAAAAAUAAAAAUUGUUUGUAAGAUAUUGAAAAUGAAAAGAUCAAAAUUGAAACAAAUAAAAAAUCAAUGUUUUUUUUAAAAAAUAUGGUGUCAACUUUGCCUUUUGUUUUUUGCUUUUGAUCAUCUACUUUUUUUUUUUAAAAAAAUUAAUCUUUCAAUGUGGUAAUUUUAUAUGAGCAUCUAGAACUAAAUAAAAAGCCACACCAUUGGUUUGGUGCUCGACUUUACAAAAAAAAAAAAAAUUGAUUAUAUUGUUUGAGAAAAAAAUAAAAAAUAAAAUUGAAACAUGAAAAUAAAAUAAAAAUAGAACAUCAAACAAAGAGUUCAGCAUCAAGGAGAACGCAUGAAAGUCCACACAUUAAACCAAAAGAAACACAAAUGGGCAAGCAAACAUACGCCCUUACUUCUGGAGGCUUGUACGAUAAUGGGCAAGCAACAUUGUUUUUUUGAGGAUCGCACAGUAAUGACUACACACACAACAUUACAUUACAUUACAUUACAUGGGUAAACAAACAGAUACCCUUAUUCACACAUGGAUAGAUAAGUCGAUAUCUUCUUUUGGGGGUUCUAUGGUAAAUAAGACUGUUACAAUGUGAAGCCAGUUUGUAUCCCAUUGCCAAUGAAACAGUUGGAAUCACUUCCACCAAUCAGAAACAUAUUUGCAGCACCACAGCUAAAAGACAUGAAUCUCCGUGAAAUCACCUAAAGUCGAGUUGAUCAUGUAAUAGGUAACCAACCUUGCCUGAUGCAAACAUGAAGAACAAAGAACAUCCAUGAUAUCGCAUNNNNNNNNNNNNNNNNNNNNNNNNNNNNNNNNNNNNNNNNNNNNNNNNNNNNNNNNNNNNNNNNNNNNNNNNNNNNNNNNNNNNNNNNNNNNNNNNNNNNNNNNNNNNNNNNNNNNNNNNNNNNNNNNNNNNNNNNNNNNNNNNNNNNNNNNNNNNNNNNNNNNNNNNNNNNNNNNNNNNNNNNNNNNNNNNNNNNNNNNNNNNNNNNNNNNNNNNNNNNNNNNNNNNNNNNNNNNNNNNNNNNNNNNNNNNNNNNNNNNCACACUAAAAGAGAGGCAAGAAAUCAAGUCAAAUCAGCAGCACCUCUGAUUGAGCACUCAUUGAACCAUCUGGUGUAGUAGCAAAUUUUGUGGUCAGCUUUGGACAUUGAUGGACCUUCAACUUCUGGGAAUAAGAAAUAAUAACACCAUCCGAAACUAAAACAGACAAUACUUGAUAAUUGUUCUAGCGACAACACCUUUAGAUUAGGAAGCACUAUCUCCUUCUCAACGUUGAUAGGUGAAGCUUGAUCAUCCUGCCCAGGAGACUCUGGAAUUACUUCCCUUUCACCAUCCUCCUCUCUGAUAAUAUGCUUCAAUUGACCUCAUUUACUUAUGUAAAGUCUUUCUAGCUUUGACAGACUCCGAGCGAGGGACGGUGUGAAGAUAAAUGUUAGUUUGUCGAGAGAAGUCAAAAACAGAAGAUUAAGACUUUGGAGGCUGACAUGUCUAGGUGGCCCCUUCCAUAUGCAUUUGAGCUCAGGUAACUGGUACAGCUGUAACUCUGUUAAAGAUGACAGCAGCGGCAGCUCCUUCUCCUCACUACUUCCUUCAUCAGCCUCAACUAAUUCAAAUACCUCUUCCAAUGAUUUGCAGCCGCCAACAAUCACCUCCUUUAGAUUGUUCAAAGCUCGCAGCAAUUUUGCUGGAAACGGAGCGCGAACAUCCCCACAAUCGUCCACUUGUACAAAUUCUAAUCUUUGUACGGAGCCGUUUUGCUGUGUAUGGGCGGCCAUCUGAUCAGAGAACAAUAUUAUAUUUUUUCACUCUCAUAAAAACAAUUUAUAUGAUGUAGAAAUAGGAGAAAAAAAUAGAAAAAACAGGAUUAAGAAACAUAUUAUUGUUUCAGUUUUUUUUUCUUAAUUAGAGAUAAGGUUAACAAUUAAAUUUUUGCGAAAAAAAGGUUAAUACAACUCCUAAUAAUUAAUUAGUUUCAUGUAAAAAAUAAAAAUAAAAAAAAGUAACUAAUAUUUUUAAAUUAAAAAUAUAAAAUACGUACUUGUAGAGAUAUGGAGACAGGGAAGACACAUUCCAGUUUACCACAGUGAGAUAUGCGGAGAGUUUUUAAUUAGUUUCAUGUAAAAAAUAAAAAUAAAAAUAGUAACUAAUAUUUUUAUUUUAGUUAUAAAGUUAAUAAAUUUUUAAAGAUAUUUUAAUUGAAUUAAAUAUUUGAACACAAAAUUUAUGUUCUUAUAUAUUAAAUCUAACAGAUAAUAUGAUUUCUAUGAUUAAUUUUUUUAUUAAGUUUCUUAUAUAAUUAUAUCAAACUUGCAUUUAUCAAUUACUUUACUUUUAGAAAUUGGGAGGAAGAAAGAAUAAAUUAUCGCAAUUGACAAUUUAAAUUAAGUGGAGAAAUAUAAAUUACAUACUUGUAGCUGUGCCAACCAAUUACCCACUUCUUCGUGGCCUUUAAUGGCUAAUUUUUGCAAAGGCAAUUGAACAUCAAAAUUCCUUGGACCUAAAAAGCUGUAAUUUGAUCUGAGCUGAAGAGACAAUUCUCUUAGUUGAGGGAACUUGAUGAUGCCAUCUCUGUUAUGUGCUUCUCCUUCUCCAGCACAAAAUAUUUGCUUUAAAUUGUCAGCAAAGUCAAUCGUCAUCCGUUCGAGGUUCGGACAUAUUCUAGUUUACCACAGUGAGAUAUGCAGCGAGUUUUUAAUUUUGGGAAGCGAGGAGACUCUGGAAUUAUUUCCCUUUCACCAUCCUCUUUUCUGAUAAUAUGCUUCAAUUCACCACAAUCACUUACUUGAAGUCUUUCUAGCUGUGGUAGACUUUGAAGAGUUAGAGACACGGAGACAGGGAAGACAUAUUCCAGUUUACCACACUCUUCUAUGAUGAUAGUUUUUAAUUUUGGGAAGCAAGGAGACUCUGGAAUUAUUUCCCUUUCACCAUCCUCUUCUCUGAUAAUAUGCUUUAAUUCGCAACAAUCUCCUACCUCAAGUCUUUCUAGCUUUGGCAGAUUUUGAGUGAGGAACGGUGUAAAGAUAAAUGUCAAUUUAUCGAGAGAAAUUAAAUACAAUACAGUAAGACUUUGGAGGCUGACAUGUCUGGUGGGCCCCUUCCAUAUGCAUUUGAGCUCAGGUAACCGGGACAGCAGUAACGUUGUUGAAGAUGACGGCAACGGCAGCUCCUUCUCCUCACUGCUUCCUUCAUCAGCCUCACCCAAUUCAAAUACCUCUUCCAAUGAUUUGCAGUCGUAAAUGUUCACACUGCUCAGAUUUUUCAAAGCUCGCAGCAAUUUUGCUGGAAACGGAGCGCGAACAUCCCCACAAUUGUUCACUUGUAAAGAUUCUAAUCUUUGUAAGAAGCCGUUUUGCUGUCCAUGGGCGGCCAUCUUAUCAGAGAACAAUAUUAUAUUUUUUCACUCUUAGCUAAAAUUUUUAUUUUAGUUAUAAAGUUAAUAAAUUUUUAAAGAUAUUUUAAUUGAAUUAAAUAUUUGAACACAAAAGUUAUAUAUUAAAUCUAACAGAUAUUAUGAUUUCUAUGAUUAAUUUUUGGUAUUAAUAACGCAAACAACAAUGAGGCAGUUAAUUUUCUUAUAUUUAUAUAUGUUUAGAUAAAAAAACAAAUCAUAAAAAAAUAAAAAUAAGCUACUAUGUUUGUUAUAUAAUUAAAAAAAAUUCAAACUUGGAUUUCCUAGCAUUUAUCAAUUACUUUACUUUUAGAAAUUGGGAGGAAGAAAGAAUAAAUUAUCGCAAUUGACAAUUUAAAUUAGUGGAGAAAUAUAAAUUACGUACUUGUAGCUGUGCCAACCAAUUACCCACUUCUUCGUGGCCUUCAAUGGUUAAGUCUAUGAUGCCAUCUCUGUUAUGAGACAAAGAGACUGGGAAGACAUAUUCCAGUUUACCACAGUGAGAUAUGCGGAGAGUUUUUAAUUUUGGGAAGCGAGGAGACUCUGGAAUUAUUUCCCUUUCACCAUCCUCUUCUCUGAUAAUAUGCUUCAAUUCACCACAAUCACUUACCUGAAGUCUUUUUAGCUGUGGUAGACUUUGAAGAGUUAGAGACACGGAGACAGGGAAGACAUAUUCCAGUUUACCACAGCCUUCUAUGAUGAUAGUUUUUAAUUUUGGGAAGCAAGGAGACUCUGGAAUUAUUUCCCUUUCACCAUCCUCUUCUCUGAUAAUAUGCUUCAAUUCACCGGAUUUACUUAUGCAAAGGGUUUCUAGCUUUGACAGACUUUGAGCAAGGGACGGUGUGGAGAUAAAUGUCAUUUUGUCGAGAGAAUCCAAAUGCAGAUGAGCAAGACUGUGGAGGCUGACAUGUCUGGUGGGCCCCUUCCAUAUGCAUUUGAGCUCAGGUAACCGGUACAGCUUUAACUCUGUUAAAGAUGACAGCAACGGCAGCUCCUUCUCCUCACCCAAUUCAAAUACCUCUUCCACUGAUUUGCAGUCCUCAAUUUCCACCCUCCUUAGAUUUUUUAAACCUUGCUGCAAUCUUGCUGGAAACAGAGUGAAAACAUCCCCACAAUCCCUCACUUCUACAAAUUCUAAUUUAUGUAAAAACAAUUGCUCAAAUGUCUUCGCAUUUAAGGAUGUACCACCCAAAAUUAAUCUUGUGGAGGUUGGGUAUCCAUUAGAAUAAUAUUUAGUAGUAUUCCCUAACAUUAAAUCAUAUUUGAGCAAGCUGGGAAAAACAAAAUCUCUGGGAAUGCAUUCAACCUUCGGUAUCCUCAAUGAUAAUACGGCUAACUGAGACAACGAAUUUAGUUCUGUUAGGCUUGCAUUCAUUCCUCCUGUGCUGUCACAUCCAACAUCAUCCCAUCCCUUAAAGCUGUCUUUCCCGAUCAACAAUUCUUCUAACUUCUUCAACCUUCCAAUCAAAUUCAUAGGGAUCCUUCUUAGACUGCGACAACCUGUCACAUCCAACAACCUUAACUCCUUGAGCUCUCCUAUUUCAUCAGGUAAUUCUUCAAUGGAUAAGCACAUUAUAAAAACAAGAAUCUUAAGUCUCUGCAGCUUUCUCAACCAAAUGAGGUCCUUGCAUCCACACCUGAUCAACACCAACGAUUGAAGUUUCGUUAAGAGUUCAAGUGAUUGCAAUGACAAACACUCUCCCUCCAGAGACAAAACUUCAAUUUCUU